CGUGCAGAGGGCUUCAACAUUUGAGAUUGCUGGACAUGAUUAGGAUAAUAAAUUGAGCAUUAAACAUUUUUGAAAUGAAACCAUUAGUUUAUGGGGGUUUACACAUACAUGAUAUCUGAAAGUUGAAGAAUAAUGUGAGGAAGUGGAACUUUUGUUAACUGUUACUUGUAUUCUUUCUUGAUCUAUACCCUUCUGUCCGGGUAAACAUUGAUUGAUGCUUUACAUUGAAAUGAAUUUACUAUCUGCUUUUGUCAUAUUUUCUGUUUGUUUUCUCAACCUACUCCAGAUAACCAUUGAAACUGAUUGCCAACUUGCAGUGCAAAAUCUAAUUAAACAGUUGCUCUCUUGUCCUCACAGAAUUUGGUCUAUUGCUGCAGGAUAUUCAAAUAUCAAAACACAAUCAAAAGUCUCCAACAUGUCAAUAUAUGUUUGCUCCACGCUCUUGUAACAGAAUAACAGAUAGCCAAGCUAGCUUAGCUUUUGACUCUGUAUUACCAAACUAUAUUUUCGAAUGAUUCCCAAAGAGUUGCAGAAUACACAAUACCUUAGAAAUGACUAAUCAUAAUUUGCUCAUGAGGCUAUGUUCAACUCAAGAACCUCUAUUUAUUCAACUAGAGACAUCCCCACAUAGCCGAUUGAUGUGAAACUUUAAUGGUUGCAACUUUAUGACAAUCAUGAGGUUUCUGAAACUGAAACAUCGUUUCUUUAAGCAAUCCCAUCCGUAACGGCAUCAAAGAAAACCCUUAGAAAACAUAUAUACGCAUGGAACUGCAACUGCUAUGAAAUUUCUAGUGCCUCUUGAAGCAGCAUAAAUUACUUUCAUAUUGUUGUCAGUUCACAAACCUACCAAGGGAACAUCAAAAUCUGAAAUUUACCUAUCCGUCCUAUUCUGGUAGGAAACCUGUCGGUCCUAUGGUCCUAAUCGCUAAGAAGGUUCAGGGAGGGGAUGCCAAAGAGUCGAAGUUUUAUAAGAAGUGACCAAAGUCAGCACCUCUCAGAUGGAUGAGAUGUUCAAUUAGUUGUCAAAUCAUUCGUUUUUUUUUUUCUAACAAGAAACCAUUGAUGUUGCAGCCUGAGGCAUACUACCAAUCUCCUCGUUCCCAUUUACAGCUGGUGACAAAUAUUUCUCGCAAUCCUUGACACCUAUCUGCAUAAACUCUUUGACAAGCAUCGGCAUGUGCCCUGCUAAAGAAUCCUUAAACCGCUGAGAACAACUCUUAUCUCCCUCAUCAACAUCCUGAACCCCACCUUUGACCAGACAUCCAACUUGAGCGCCAUCCAUGUAUGCUUUACAUGCCACCAAAAUGUCAUGAGCACGAUUCCGGAAAUGCCCCACAACAAAAUCCUCAAAAUGCUGCACUCAAACAAACUUAUAUUAGGGCUCAAAUUUUAAGCCUGAUAUCUACAAUACUAUGUAGCCAGAUGAACCACACAGCAUGUUUGGACUGCCAUGAUGUGUCAUAAUGAUCAACAAAGACAAUUCGAAUAAAUCCUAUAUAAACUGGUCAAAACAGAAAGGAAAGAGCUCCUCAAUUUAUAUAUGUUCAAAAACAGUAUAUUUUAUGUAGUUAACAACAUUAACCAUUUAUUUCAAUUUUCCAAACAUUAAAUUGCUUAUUUCAUUUAUCUAAACACUAUUCUAUAGGUAUAUAUAUAGAGAUAAAUAUAACUUUCUUAUGAUAAACCCAUUCGUAAACGUCCUGCACACUUAUGAUAAGGUGAUGAGGAUCUUCAUUCAGAAGAUAUGAGUCUAAAAUGAUGUCUCUUUAUUUAGCACAUGACCAUCGAAAUUUUUUUGAUUCCUUUGCAAAUUACCAAAAUGAGUAAUAUAGUAAAGCACAUGACCAUCGGAAUUUUUUUGAUUCCUUUGCAAAUUACCAAAAUUAUCAUGAAUUUGGAAUGAUUAGAAACUUUAGUGUUAAAACAAUUCAUUUACAAAAUAUGUGUGUGUGUUAGCAUUUUGAGAAACUAAAGCCGAAAAGUGUUUUGAUUAGAACUCCAAACAAGUUACAAAAUCAAUAUAGUAAUUCACUUGGACCAUGUUAACAAAUCUUACCUUGGGAGGCCUCCUCAUCAUGUAUACCAUAGUUGUUAAAGAUAGGAGGAAAGUAUCCUCAUUAUAUUGCAGCGACCUCGUUUCACCAGCUGCUGAACCAUUCAUAGAUGCAUAUCCAGGCUCAUUAAAGUAGGGCUUUGUAUUCAAGAUCAGCCCUUGUAUUGACACUAAAACUUGUAGAAUGGUGGAAACACCCGGGAUCCACAUCUCUUUAGAGCUCCCAGACCAGGUGUUGAGAAGGCUGAGGCAUACUUUCCCACAAGCAUACAAAUUAGGAUUUAGUCGAAGGCCACCAGAGUGGUAGUAGACAUGCUAGCAUUACCAAGGUCCAAGUCAGACCCAUGAUGUAAGUACAUUUAAUAUAAUGCCAAAAAAAAAAAAAAAAACAAAUUACAUACCGGCGGCACACUGGGGUAACCACUGGGGAAGGAAACAUCAAAGAAAAAGAGACCAUCAUGGUAAGGAGUACCCUCAGCUCCAACAAUUACAGCUCUCAAUAGAUCCAUCCUUGUCUCAUAAACUCUAACAAAUACUGUUUCUGUAAAUUUGAAAAAGGAGGAGGUUCAGAGUUUAAAUAUAUUCACUUCACACAAUGCAUGCUUAGCAGGUAGGCAACAUAAUUAACAACAGUCCAACAUCUAUAUUCUAGAUAUUACAAAUUCCCAAUAGUCAAUAUUUACAAAAGAAAUUUUUCAAAAGUUUACGCAUAAAAGCAAAUAAGCAGUGAAUGAAAUCUUACUACCACUACCAUGACAUGAAAAUAAUGCAAAAGGCUCACCAGGCAGAUCUUUCUCCAGGCUCUUCCACUCUUCCUGAAUUCUCUUUGCCCAGUUCUUUGGUGGCUUCAGAAAGAGUAAAAGCAAACAAGUGUAAGAUACAAAAUUGAAAAUGUACCAAAAGUAACUAAAACAUGCUAGACAUUGUCUUAACUCACCUGAGUCAUGGAAUUACCAUUGAGUGUACCAGCAAGAGUAUAAUGAUGGUCAGAAUAAUCUUCAACUGUAUCAAAUUGUUUAAAACCCUUGUACUUCUGCAUAAUCACAUCUAUUUCCUGGGUAGUCAAUUGUCUAGCAGGGGUAGUUGAAAGACUUGCAGCAGUGACAUUUUGAUGAGCUUGGGAAACACCCUUAACCCAAGGGACACCUGCUAAUCCUCCAGGAGGAGGAUAUAUGGAACCAGUUGGACUGUAGAAACUUGAAUGAUGUGGUUUAGCACUAGUUGGGAACAAAGAAUCUGACAACCAGGCAGUGGGCGACUGUAUUCCGAAAGGAUCAAUUGCAAUGUUGGGUAAAUGUCCGAACAAAGAUGUCUCAGCUCCAGUAUUGAACUUCAUUGCAUCAUAUUUAGCUGAACUACUUGAAGAAAAUAGCUUUUUUUUACGUUGCAAAGCUCCUAAGAACCUUCGAGAUUUUGAUGGUUCUGCUCCAACUGGGAGACUAGGAGCACUACCUUGGGGAUGUGGAGCAGAGUGUUUCUUUCUGCUUCUAGCAGCUUUUGGAAGUUUCCAAGAUGACUGAUACCAUCCCUUUGGGUGACUGAUUCCAUCUGCUGGGGUCUUCAAGCUUGAACUGCCUAUAGCAGCUGGCUUAAAGUCAAAACUAAAAGGAUCCCAAGGAUACAGCUCAUGUCCAUGGCUGCCAACAUAAUCUGAUUUCAUUUGACACCUUGUAUCAACAGAACUACUUCCAGAAACCGAACUUACAUUAGUUUUAGGAGGAUUUAACAACCAAGGAAUAUGUGGGACAGGUGCCUCUAUUCCAGGAGGGAUACCCACAUUAUCGAAAUGGGAUUGCAAGAAAGCAUAGUCAAACUCUUCAAAACUAGUAUCAGUAUAGUCAUCAACAUCAUCAGCAGAUGCAUCAGAAUUGGGACCAUCUAAGUCAAUAAAGUGAUUUGAUGCUGGGGCGACAUCCUUAGUAAUUUCGAUCCCAUUGACUGAUCCAAAGGUUUGCAUACCGGAGGAACCAAGAGAAGUAUGGAGGACAGCUUCCUGUAAGUAAUAGCAUAUAAAGUAAAUAAACUUGAGAAUGAUAUAGCUGCACAAAAUAUCUAUCGGAUAGAGAAAAGUUAGCAGUCAACAACAAGAAUGUCAAUUCCAGUUAAUCAUAACCUCUGAUUGAUAAAUAUGGUGACCGUCUGAAGAGCUUUUCACUGCCUUUCCUUUGAUAGUUCUGUCAAAUUUCUCAUGAAUAAAUAUUGCAGCAGCAGAAUCAUCUUUGUCAAUUUCAAUCACAUCCUGCAAAAUCACCUGAGAAAAGAAAAUAAUUAAUCUAUACUGUUCAAUUGAUUAGAGAAAACAUUCCGAAAGAGCAAGAAAAAAGAAUGAAAGAAAACAUAUCGAUAAACGGAGGCAGCCUGUAAGAGAAUGAAUAACAUGUUCAGGAUUAUAAACCUAGGCAAAGGUCAACAAGUUAGUAAAACAACAGACCUAGAAGAUAUAAAUAGGACAUGUCGCUAUUUAGGAGGGAAUGAACCUCCUUGCUAUCUAAUGAAAAUCCUACUUAUCUGAAACAAAAGCAUAAAAUAAAUGCUUGUGCAUUAUUUCCUUAGCCCUUCGCAAGUUUGAAAAAAAAAAUUGACAGUUAGUCAUUCUUCCGGAUCCAAAUACAAUUAUGGUUUUCUAUGCGGAAAGAUGGUUUAAGGGUUUUUUUUUUUUUUUUUUUUUUUGUAGAAAGGGAAAGAUAGUAAGGUUUGUUAUACUAAAUAAGAAAAGAGACCCAUCAGUCUCUUGCUAAAAGCUGAUACACAAAAAAAAAAAAAACUGCUGAAAAGAUGCCAAACAUCAGGGAUAUGUCAUUAUAUUACAGGGUGUUCAUGACAUUACAGAAUCUCACAUUGGAAAUUGUAAGCUUUAAAUACAAUAUAUGAAAUUUUGGGUCUCCACACAUUGUCAGUUGGUUUUGGAUUGGAGACUCUAAAUCUAACAUAUAUAACCAAGACAAUUUGGCAUUCACCUUAAAACAGAAAGUGCUUUAAGAAAGGAUGUCAUUAUGCAUACAGCCAUACAGGACAGUUCAAACUCAUUCUUAUACAUGAAAAGAAAUUCAGCAACACAACUUACUUUGCUGUAUAACAUACAGAUUGAUAAGAAGUAUGGAGGUUCAAUGCCUCUAAGAGGGGAAAACUAUAGAUACGGGAAAUUGUCCGACAAUAUAAUUGGGUGUAGGAAAUAUGUUUGAGAUAUUGUUUUACUGAUAGCCAAAACAGUCUGAAAAUGGGAAGAUGCUGCGUUCAUAGUAAUGAAAUAAUGAUUCUACAGAAAACAGGGCAACCAUGUUUCAGCCCUCCUCUCAAAACGUCACUUUACGUUUGACACAUUCUAACUCAUUUGCCACUUUAUGAGUUCAUUUCUCUACAGAAAACCAAGAAACUGAUAAAUUCAUAGACAACACCAUGCUCACAAUUCGAAGCACAGUUGCAGUUUCCCACGAAAUCACUCACUGGGUCCGCAAUCAACCUAUCUAUUCUAACAAAACACAAAUCACAGAAGGAAAAAACCAACAAUACAAUCACUCUUCAUAAUUGAUACUCCAAUUCAACACUUCAUCUAUACAUAAGCAAAACAAAAAUUCACUAUAAUCUCAUCACAUUGCACAACACAAUCCACUAUGUAUACCAAGCACACAAAAACCAAAGACCAUUUCUUUCUGCUCAAAAUCCCCAAACCAAGUUUGAUCAAAACCAAAACUAAAAUCCCAUAUCACCAUUUACCCAAUUCAUUACCAAUCAAAAAACAGUAACUUGAUCAUUCGACAUCAUCAGAACACUGAUUUAACCACCACCACAUGAUCGGGUCCGAUCAGAAAUUCCAAAUUCAACCAAAAAGAUUGAAACUUUCCAAAAAGAUCGAAACUUUGAUCCAACAAAAUUCGAAAAGAAAGAAAGACAAGAAGAAGAGAAACAUCGUACGACCGAACCUCACCUGUUUGUUCUUCCGCAGUUUCCGAGAGCAAGCGACCGGAGCAGCAACCUCGACAACGUCGUCGGUAUCCAUGUUUGGAUGAGCUCGCUUGUUACUGUUUUGGAAAGCAAGAAGAGUGAAAUAAAAAGUCAGGCGAAACCAAACAAAACAAAAGACGAAGACGAAAAGAGAGUCUCUUGUAGUUUUCGAAACUGCGAUUAAAAUAAACAAAAGCUAGAGAGAGAGACUUGGGAUUCUCGGGUUCGUUUAGCCGCGGCUCCAUUACUGAACCGGCUUCGACCGCUUCGUCUUCUUCUUUGUUUCACAGAGAGAGAGAGAGAGCUGAGCCGAUCAGUGGUGAGAAAAAACCGGGUUUUUCUUUGGAUUGGUGAGGGGGAUUGGAAAUGGGAUGGAUUUUUUUCGACAAAGAUUUUUUUGAUUAUAAUGACGACAGCCAAGGGAGUGUUGUUUUCCUAAAUAGAAAGAGCCAUGGUCUUUUGUCUUUUGUCUUUUGUCUUUUGUUUGGAAUUUACUGUUGUACCACUGCCUGUUCGGAGAGAAGAGUAGUACUCUGAUUCAACAGACGAAGUCCAUGAGAUGCACAAUUUGGGAAUGACUCCUGUGAAACUGGUGUGGGGAGUUGGGGAGAUUUGGGAUAAGUUGUUUGUUGCUUGUUUGGGCAAAUUUAAUGAUGUUGUUGGAUUUUUCUGUACAGUGCAGUCCUUUGUGGGUUAAUGAAGGAUGGAGAUCGAGUUACUCGAGUACUAAAUUUGGGUGCACUAAAGGCAAUGGAAAGUUCUGAAUUUGGAAAUACGAGAGUGAAAUCCGUACUCAGAUCGUUUUUUAGUUGAAAUAUUUAUAAAAAGACAAACAUAUGUUGCGGAGAACAAAAUUUAAAUUACUAAAAAGAUGAAAUAAUGAGUGUUGAAUACAAAAUUAAUAGUGCGACUAUAUUUUCUCUCUGCUCUCUUUUCUAGCGUCGUCUAGGGUUGGGGUUUCUUUAGGUCGUGUGGUGCUUCUCUGCAUGGCUUCUUCGAUUGCUACCUACAAUGACAACACGCCUUGCUUCCAAGCUUUCUCUUGGUAAUCAAGAAGAAACGGUAGAUCUAGGGGAUUUUCUGUGUCCUUACAAGAGUUUUGUACGUGGCUCCAUGAUUUUUGUUGGUACACCAUUGCUUCCAAGCUUUCUCUUGGUAAUCAAGAAGAAACGGUAGAUCUCGGGGAUUAUCGGUGUCCUUACAAGAGUUUUGUACGUGCCUCCAUGAUUUUUGUUGGUACACCAUUGACGUGUUUUUUUUUUCUUUUUCAAAACUUUUUAUUAAUAACGUACUCACACACUCUACAUAUGUCAAUGAGGUUUGAACCCAUGACCUCAAAGUUGUCAGUUAAACACCUUAACCAACCAAGAAGAAACGGUAGAUCUAGGGGAUUUUCUGUGUCCUUACAAGAGUUUUGUACGUGGCUCCAUGAUUUUUGUUGGUACACCAUUGCUUCCAAGCUUUCUCUUGGUAAUCAAGAAGAAACGGUAGAUCUCGGGGAUUUUCGAUGUCCUUACAAGAGUUUUGUACGUGGCUCCAUGAUUUUUGUUGGUACACCAUUGUACGUGGUGGUUUUUUUUUUUCAAAACUUUUUAUUAAUAACGUACUCACACACCCUACAUAUGUCAAUGAGGUUUGAACCUAUGACCUCAAAGUUGUCAGUUAAACACCUUAACCAACCAAGCCACGGCUCACCGACACCAUUGAAGUGGUUAGUAUACUAUGACACCAAGCAUAAGUAACACCUUUGUUGUGAGCCCACGAGCCAUACCGAGACCCGACCACGACAUACAUCUUGAAGUCUAACAUACAAGCUACGCAACGGUACCCGGAAGUUGCCAAAAGCUUACCCGGAAGUCACAUUCCCGGCCUCACCAACAUGCCUCCAUACAACACUUUGAAGACUAGAAUAAGACUUUUGUCUCAUAUUGAAGACAAUAUAAAGGAAGGAGCCUCAUUCUCCUAUAAAAGGAGACUCAUUCCCCACUUAUUCAACACACAACAACAAACACUUGUAAUAUUUUGGGUGGCCCUUUAAGGCUCCUAACACAUAGUAGAAUCUUAAGUAGAUGUAGCCUUACCAACCGAUGACAAGGUGGCCCUUUAAGUCUCUCAACACAAAGUAGAAUCUUAAGUGGAUGUAGUCUUACCCACCGAUGGCAAGGUGAACCACUAUAAAUCAUGUGUCUCAUUAUCUCUAAACCAUUAACAUCCGUAGGUGCAAGGAUUACUCCAACGAUAAUCUACUGCAUCAACAUUGACGUCGUAUGUGGGAAACCGAUACAAAAAGCUCCGUUUACUAUGAGCUAAGUGGUUUCAACAUUUUCUUAAUUAUUAUUCAAUUAUAUAAACGGCAACCUCUGCCCUAGUUUACUCACUACAUAUCUUUGGUGGUACGAAAAAAAAAAACACAGAAUUUUGAUCGUUGCAUAUCUGAUGCGCUUGUAGUUUAAAGAAAAAAAAAACUUUGGAAUAAUUGUCAUUCAAGAUUAUAGAACGGCAAACUUGUGCCAAAAUUUUUAGGUGGCAAGUUAGUUCCCAGUUGAUCAAUUAUUUUCUAGCGGGUAACUUUAUUCAAUUGUUUUUUAGGAGCAAUCAAGCUUGCUCGUAUGGAACUCAAACCAGCCACAGGCGUGGAACUCAAACCAGCAAUCUUGGGAAGAUUGACCCGCUAGCUCAAAGUUGAUGGAUAUUCAUAUGCUUCAAAGCCAAGGGGUAACAAAAAAAAAGAAGGAAGGAUUUUCAAAAGCGAUUAUCGAGAGAGAAGAAGAUGCAAGCGGUCAAAGUUUGCUUACACAGACCCUCUUCCUCUGGAAAAAAAAAAAAGAAGGAAAAAAAAAAAAGCGGGUUUCUAUGGACGCCGCCUAGAGACAUUCUUGAGUACCCAGCCUUCUCUUUCCUUAGGCACGCCAUCCAAUCACCGCUUGAUCAAGCACAGUAUUAGGGUGUUAACCCUAAAACUGGAGAAGAAAGCAGAAAUUGAAGAGAACGAAGGGAAAUAAAAAAAUAAACUUAAGAUUUUUCAUUCAUAACCUUUGCAGCAAUACAACCUCAGAUAUAUAUAUCUAGAAUGGAUCACAGAAAGGACGACACGUGUCCCACAUGUGCUAACCAUAAGAUUAACCAACUAACCCCUUGAUUAACUAACAAAACACUUAAUUAACCAUAAGCUGUAAUUAGAAGAACAUGUGCACUGCACGAGGACUAAUCUCAGACUUAGUUAUCCUAAUUGCACAGGAAAGGUAUGAUUUGUGUAAAAAUCAUAACAAUCCAUCCCUCUGCACUUGAAGCUUGACCUCAAGCUUUAAAAUCUGGAAAGCGCUGCAUAAUAUCAUCUGCUUCUUCCCAAGUGGCUUCUUCCACAGUUGAACCCAACCAAUGAAUCAACCACUUAGUAACAACAACAUUUCCUUUCUUACUUAUUUGCCUCUGCAAAACUUCAGCAGGGUACCAUAUGGGAUUAUGGGGAUCCAAGUUUGGAGGCAAAUGUGCAGUAAUCACUGUGUUGUCACCAAUCUUCUUCUUAAGAAAGAGACAUGAAAAACAUGAUGUACCUUUGCUGAAUCAGGAAGCUUGAGUUUAUAUGCGCGCCACUUGACCAAUUUUCUGCUCCACCUGAAAUGGUCCAUAGAAUCUUGGUGACAGCUUGUGGAAAGCUCUCUUGUGCACAGAACGUUGCCUAUAUGGCUGCAGCGUCAAAUAUACCCAAUCACCUGCGUUGAAAGAUCUUUUAAUGUGAUGCCUGUCAUAAAAACUCUUCAUCCUGCAUUGAGCAAUUUCCAAAUUUCUUUUCAAAAUUGCUAACAGCUCAUCCCUUGUCCGAAGCUGCUUGUCCACUGACUCCACUACUGUUGAUCCACUUACAUAAGUUCUGACUGAUGGUGGUUCAUAACCAUAGAGAGCUUGAAAUGGGGUCAUUCCUAUAGCACUAUGAUGAGCUGAGUUAUACCAAUAUUCAGCCCAUGGCAAGGCUGCAACCCAAUUCUGAGGUCGCUCUCCUACAACACACCUCAGGUAUUGUUCCAAUGUCCUGUUUAGGUUUUCUGUUUGACCAUCCGUUUGAGGGUGGUAGGCUGAACUCCUAUUCAACUUUGUCCCCUGCAGCUUAAAAAACUCCUGCCAAAAAUUGCUAAGAAAAAUUGGAUCUCUGUCAGAAAUGAUUGAAUCUGGCAUCCCAUGUAGCUUGAAAACUCCUUCAACAAACAACUGCACCACCAUUGAGGCUGUGUAAGGAUGGGAAAGGGAAAAGAAAUGAGCAUAUUUUGUCAACCUGUCCACCACAACCAAAAUUAUUGUUUUUCCUGCAGGUUUAGGCAAGCCCUCAAUAAAAUCAAGAGAGAUGCAUUUCCAGGCUCCUUCAGGUAUCACAUUAGGCUGUAGCAAACCAGGUGGAUUCUGAGUCUCAUAAUGGUUUUGUUGACAAAUGUGACAAGAUGCAACAAAGUCCUUGACAUUCUUAUGCAUUCCAGCCCAAGCAAAUGAUCUGAAAACUCUCUUUAAGGUUCUAGCAACUCCUGCAUGCCCUCCAUUAUACCCAUCAUGCAUUUCACUAAUUAUUUUAGCUCUCCAAUCAUUGCAGGCAGGAACAUAAACCCUAUCUUUAUAUAGCAACUGAUCAUUCACAACCCUAAAAUGCUGAGAUGGAGGUUUGCCUUGAGCACACAGCUGUAAUAUCUUAUUAGUGUCAGAAUCUUGAACACAAGCUUGUUGGAGAUCAUGCAAAUAGCUAUGCACAGAUGAGGAUAUGCCAGAAGCCAUAGAAAGAGUGCCAUACUUGGUUAUUUGGUGUUCAAUUGAUGUCAACUCCUCCCUCCUUGACAGAGCAUCUGAGGCAGCAUUGUUCUUGCCAGGCUUAUAGUGGAUUGAGUAAUCAUAGCCAAUCAGCUUAAGCAACCACUUCUGCUGUGCUGGAGUGGUUAUUUUCUGAUCCAAGAAGUAUUGAAUAGUUCUAUGAUCAGUGUAUAUCUUGAAAUGAUUGCCCAAAAGAUAUGGUCUCCAAUGCUGCACUGCAAACACAACUGCUAGCAUCUCUUUAUCAUAAAUGGAUAAUGCAACAUAUCGAGGAGCCAAUGCCUUGCUCAAAAAAGCAAUGGGAUGGCCUUCCUGUGAAAGUACAGCCCCAAUGCCUAUUCCUGAAGCAUCACAUUCAACAACAAAUUCUUUGGAAAAGUCAGGUAGAGCUAAACUGGUGUGUUCAUCAAGGCCUCCUUUAGAGCCUCAAAAGCCUCCUCUGAUGCUGCAGUCCACUGAAAAUCUCCAAUCUUUAACAUGUCAGUGAGGGGUUUGGCUAUUAUACCAAAAUUUCUCACAUAUUUCCUGUAAUAGCUAGCCAACCCCAAAAACCCUCUCAAACCCUUCAAGGUCUUUGGCUUGCUCCACUGCUUAAUACACUCAAUUUUUGUUGGAUCCACUGCAACACCCUUACCACUAACAAUGUGACCAAGAUAAUCAACCUCAGUUACUCCAAACUGCACUUCGACUUCUUAACCUUGAGUGAAUGGUCCAUAAGUCUUAGGAAAACCAGCUCUAAAUGCUCAAUAUGUUUUUCCAUUGACGGACUGUAAAUCAGGAUGUCAUCAAAAAAUACUAGGACACCUCUCCUCAACAAAUCUCUAAGCAAGUCAUUCAUGACUGAUUGAAACGUUGCUGGAGCAUUAGUAAGGCCGAAUGACAUUACUAAAAACUCAUAAUGACCAUUGUGAGUCCUGAAAGCAGUUUUGCUGAUGUCCUUAGGGCUCAUUCUGAUAUGAUGAUAACCCGAUCUAAGAUCCAACUUGCUGAAAACAACAGCCCCAUGCACUUCAUCCAAGAGCUCAUCCACAACUGGGAUAUGAUAUUUAUCUUUGACUGUAGCUGGAUUCAAGACUAUAAUCCACAUACAUCCUCCAAGUUCCAUCCUUCUUUUUAACAAGUAGGACUGGGGACGAGAAGGGACUAACAUUUGGCCUGAUAACUCCAGAAUCCAACAGCUCCUGCACAAUUUUUUCAAUCUCUGACUUUUGAAAAUGUGGGUAUCUAUAUGGUCUCACGCUAAUAGGGGCAGUGUUAGGGAGCAGCUGGAUUUGAUGAUCCUGGCUUCUACUGGGAGGUAAACCAGUUGGUGUCUCAAACAGCUCUGCAUACUUAUCAAUUACCUUUAAUAGUGAAGGGUCUUGGCACUUAACUGCAUUCGUCGCACUAGAUUGAACAUGAUGUACUUCCACCAACAAGGCCAGAGAACAUGUAUUCUUGUAGUUUUAACUCAAUUCUAACCUCUCCAUGAGUCUUCAUCUUAGCUCCACUUGCUAACACCACAUUUAGAGGAGCAAAUUUAUGGAUAUGUGUCUUUGUACCAUGUAAGAGAUGAGGAUGUAUGAAAUUGUGUGUGGCUCCCGAAUCUAUCAGAACAUGCACUAUCUUCCCUUUAAACAAGCCCUUGAGCUGCAUAGUUGUGGAAUUUGCACUGUCAUCUCCCAUAGCCUGCAACCUGAUUAAUGGCUCAUCCAAAUCAACAAGGGGUGUCUGCUCAAUUAAUUGUGGUGUGCCCCCUGGUUCUUCAGUAGUCACUACUUCGUCAGGGACAAUCUCCAUUACCAUCAACUGCCCUUUCUUUCUGCAAUUAUGUCCCUUAGUAUAAGGAGCUUCACAAAAAUAACACUGAUUUCUCGCCCUCCUAGCUUCAAAUUCAGAAUCAUGCAUCCUUCUAUUAGUGCUACCAACUUUGCUAACAUCAGUUUUGACUCCCACAGCAGCACGUUUUGCCAUGGACUGAAUGAAUUUGGAAUGUUGUGCCCCAUUAUAAGCAGCUGCAGAUUUUUUGGCAAAGUUUCUCUUAGCAUCAUUUCUCGCUUCAUAUAUUCGGGCCAGCUCACAAGCUUCAUAGAGUGUCUUUGGCUUCAAAGCUUGUACAUCACCUCUGAUAUCUUCUUUCAAACCUUCAAUGAAAAAUGUCACAAGAGUUGCUUGUGGAAAGCCAAGAGCUCUUCUUGCCAACUUUGUAAAUUCUUCCAUGUGUUGCUCAACCCUACCUGUUUGGUCCAUGCGAGCUAAAACUGCUUGAUAUUCACUUCUGUUGUAACAACCAAACUCCCUCAUAAGUAAAUAAGCUAAUCCCUACCAAGUUGGAGGAAAUUCAUGUUUAAAAGUGAAACAUCUAUCUGUAGCCUUAUCAACCAAAUGCAUUGUUGCUAUUGACAAUUUCUUUCCCUCCGGUAUUUGAUAAAAAUCAAAAUACUGCUCAGCCUUAUUCAACCAGUCAGUUGGAUCACCACCUUGAAAUAUAGAAAAAUCCAACUUCAUCUGUUUCAUAGUUGGCAAAUUGGGAUCUGUAUGCUCAUGUUGUUGGUGCUGAUAAACAACAUUUUGGUACUGAGGUUGUGGAAUGUGUAUACUGUUCCACACAGUCUGUGUUCGAUGGUGAUUGGCUGGAUAGAAUUGAAUUUGAGGUCCCUCAAAAGACGAAGAGUUAAAAACUAGAGUAGGUAUUGGUUGUGAGUAGAGGUGGCAAACAGGCCGGCCCGGCCCGUCUAAUCGGGUUUCAGGCUGUGCUUGGGCCGGCCCAUGACGGGCCACUUCUUAACGGGCUCGGGCUUGGGCCGGCCCAUUUACUCAACUGUAAAGCCCAUCCCGACCCAUGGCCCAAGCCCAUACCGUCGUGGGCCAGGCCGGCCCGGGCUUAUGAACGGGCCGUGUUGAGCCCGUUUCGUGCUGAAAAUUAAAAAUAGUCGAGGUGAAUGUCCUAUACCACCGCUUCUACUCUCAUAAUCUCAACUUUUAAUUAUACAUGAUACGAUUACAAACCAAAACUAAUUCACACAAUCUAUCAAUCAUUUUUUUCUUUGUCAACAACUAAAGAAAUAAGUGAUAAAUACUUAUUAUUCACAAUUAAUAAAUUUUUAGGCAAAAACUUCUUACGAGUCUAAAGGAAUCUAAAUUCAUACUCAAAUAAAUAAUUAUUAGUAUAUAAGUUUAUUGUUCACACUCAAAACUAAAUUUAUUAUUUAUAAAUAUGUUAUCUUUAUAUUAGAAAUGGAAAAAAAAUUAUAUUUUAUAGCGGGCCGGGCCAUGGGUCUCAAAUUAUCGUGCUCAGGCCAGGCCGGGCCUAUAACGGGCUUGGGUUGAGCCGGGCCCAUGGGCUCAGUUUUUUAGACCCUGCCCGACCCAUUAGAAUAACGUGCUUGGACCGGGCCGGGCCGUUAACGAACUUGGGCCGUGCCGGGCCGCUUUUAAACGUGCCGUGCUAGUGCCGUGCCCGUGCUUUGCAGCCCAUUUGCCACCUCUAGUUGUGAGGACAUGAAAGUAUUGUAGGGCGGUUUAACAAAACACACCUCCUUGUGUAUUUGUAUUGGAAAAAACAGUAGAAGGUUGUGAUGCAAACUGUGGCUGGGAGGUAAACACGUUGGUGGAAGAAUAUUGGUUUGGCCCUAUGUAUGACUUAGAAAAAGGAUUUUGGCUUUGGGGCACUAGUGGCUGUGAUUUUGGCACAGAAGUGGGGUUAACGUAACCAAAAGCAAUAGCAGCACGCUGUGAAGUUUGUGAACCCCCAAAUGAAGCUAAAUCUGGGUUUCCCUGCAGAGAAUCAACACCACCAAACAUAUUCGGAACACCAACAACAUAAUCCUUAUCCCGACUCAACCAUUGACCACCACUUCCAACAACAGUUGUAUUCCAGUUCAUAGGCACAGCAAUACUACUAGCAUGAGAACAAUGACUAACAACACCGGUACUAGCAGUAGUAAACAAGUUUCCAAGAGAAUUACCCUCAGAUCCAAGUGAAAAUGUAGAGAGACCCUCAGAUCUGCCACGAGUGGAGGAAGAAGAGCCUUCAAGCUGUUCCCUGACCCAAGUAGUGACGAUUGGGGAGCUCACAGUACCAAAUCGGACUGAGCCACCGAGUUGUGAGCCUGCAGUAGGGUCCGGAGGUGAGAUUUGACCUUCCAAUAACGAAGAAAACUGUCCCUUAAGCUCCUCCAUUAACGUAGAUCUGAAAUCGGCAAAAGACGAUGCCAUCUCUUUGCGCAUCUCCGCCAGUUGAGCUGAAGUUGCAUCGCGAUGAGCCUGCAACUCACACUCAAAGUGCACCAACUCACCAGAAACUUCUGGUUCGUCCGGGUUUUUGUUUUUGAGCCUUGCCAUGGAAAUGGCUGGUCUUUGAUACCAGAUUAUUAGGGUGUUAACCCUAAAACUGGAGAAGAAAGCAGAAAUUGAAGAGAACGAAGGGAAAUAAGAAAACAAACUUCAGAUUUUUCGUUCAUAACCUUUGCAGCAAUACAACCCCAGAUAUAUAUAUCUAGAAAGGAUCACACAAAGGACGACACGUGUCCCACAUGUGCUAACCGUAAGAUUAACCAACUAACCCCUUGAUUAACUAACAAAACACUUAAUUAACCGUAAGCUGUAAUUAGAAGAACAUGUGCACUACACGAGGACUAAUCUCAGACUUAGUUAUCCUAAUUGCAUAGGAAAUGUAUGAUUUGAGUAAAAAUCAUAACACACAGCAGGCACCGCCAUGAAGCCACCCAGAAUUAAACUCUGGUCUUUGGGCACCGAGCGUCCACCCUUAGCGACCCGCUCAGCCUCUCUGCCACGACAUCAGAUUCGCUCCUUCUCAAGCGUUCGUCUAAACUCGCUCGCUCUCACCACAUGACAUUCGGUUGAGCAUCAGCUCGCUGGCGUCCAAAGCAGAAACAUUCAGGGUGUACAGGUGUUGAAAACAUUUAGAAUAAUCAAGAGGAUCGUGAGCUUUAACUCUGGCGAAUACCAUCCCUAACAGUAGGUUUUUUUGGAAAGUCUGUGAUUUGGGGAUUCCUAAACUGAACAAAGUACAUUUGCAACCAAAGGUCCAGUAUCCAGAGGGGCCCUGAUAUAGCACUAUAGUUGAAUGGGUGAAAGGACAGGUUCUAAAGGGCUCGGUACAUCAUAGCUAGGGUCAUUUGGGCUAGUCCUAGUUUAUGACCGUUAAACAGAAGGGUGGCUACGCGAACCCAGGCAUCAGUGAUCUUUUGAGUGCUAAUGCAGAUUGAAUUUAGUGAGCCACAAUUCCAGAAAUGCAAUGCCACUAACCUCACCACUUUGAGCAACGUAAUGAUCAGCCCAAAAUUCAUAAGACUUACAGAAAUUGUGAUGAUUGGGGUCAGCUUCAAAGGCCACCGCGAAGGCAUGUGUUCGCGUACAAAUCCAGUAGCGUGAUACCCAUCUGCCCGAAUCUGAAAUUGAAGGUGUUGCUGGGGGUAUCCCAGAAACAAGCUGCUGCCAUCAUUGGAGCCCUGUUCGCCCUUGUGCUUUGAAGCUGGAAGCUUAAAUCAAUCACAUCUGUAAUACCCGCUUGUUGCCACCUCUCUAAAUCCAAGGCUUUGCAAUUUUGGUACCAUAAGUGCAUGCGCGCAGAAGGAUAAGGUCAUACCCCUAUCCUUACAGAUUGAUGGCUUAUCUGCCAUUUCCGGAAGGUCGCUGCAGAGUUUCUGAAGGCUAAGGUUGGGAUUCGAGUUGCAUGUUGGUAAUCUUCACGAACCGAAGGAGGUACUGGGUCCAUCCAUGGUCCUAGGCCCGCUGUGGCGUCUGUGAAAAGUUUAAGGCUGGAUUUGGUUGCAGAGUCAUGGGGUUUCAGGCCAAGCAUUCUGGUUUUGAACUCUUGAGCGCUUUCAACGGUCAGAGUUGUUGGAGCUAUUUCUGGGUUUCUAUGUCUGAACAGUAAAGGGUUCGAGGUUUAUAAAGAACUGAAAAGGUUCUUCGAAACGUGGCGUCUUAAUUCGGAAGGACACAUCUGUGUCUCUUCGCGAGACAAGGUUUCAAUAAACAUAUAGGCGACUUUUACGGAUAUACCCUUUUGGGGUUACAAAGCCUUUCAUAGGAGUUGAAGGGUUAGCCCUCUUCGAUCACGUAUGGUAAACCGGGCCUAGAUCUCGAGGCCUAGGUGGCAAUGUUUAGGCCCAAUUUUAUAUUGGUUAUCUUAUUUAUGAGCUAGCCCAUGGACCGAUACCCGCGGUCCAAAUGUCUUUAAUUUGUUUUCUUAUUACAUUGGGUAAUUACUGGUGGAAGAUUUGCAGGAUAUCUCAAAGAUAUGUUGUCAAAAGGCUCGACUAGGAAAGUAUCAUUCCAAAUUCAAUUAGAAGAUCCGAUCGCCUUGGUUAACCAGUUAUUCGCAAACCCUAGCCGCAUAGUUCUCUAUAAAAGGAGGUCAAGGCGGAUGAGAAGCCCAGCGAAUCACCCCCCCCCGCGACAAAUUGGACGCCUCCCCAGGAGCACCCAAUCUACCAAAACAGCCUAUCCAGGUAUCCAGGGAGCACCACCAAAGCCUCAUCGCGAGCAAAUCCCGCUUCACUCACCAAGCCUCAUCGCGAGCAAAAGUCCACCCCCAGUCCAUAAAGGCUCAUCACGAGCACUAGUCUAUCCCUUUGUUAAGGAGCGAUCCUUAACAAAUAUCUUUAUUUUGUUGUUUGUUACUGAAGUAAGCCCUCAGGAGCCGUCCUAGGCCAUUGUGAAGAACCCAGCAGCAAGACUGACCGUUCUUGCUCACAUCUGCUUGAAGAGAAACCAAGAGAAGCGCGCGAACCAGACAAGAUCAAGACAGGCACACUUCCUCAAGGUGUUGGCACGCUCGCACCAGACGGUUGUUCGAAGGACGUAAAAUCCAACCCGAACACCCACACUUAAAAAGACAAUUUCUCAUUCAACUCUUUCUUGAAAAAAUUUGUUAAUGUAGAAAAGAUUGGGAGUGUAUUGGAUUGCUUGUUGUACUUUGAGUUUAUAUUUUUCCUUAAAAAAAAAUACAUGUUACUCAAGUUAAAAACUUGGAAGUUCAACUUUACAGUGAGAUAGUAGAUGGGUAAAACGUUUUUCAAAUAUGGACCAAAAUCGAAACUGACUUGAAAAUUCGGAUAGGCCAAAUAUUCGGGUCAAAGGUUUUAAAAUCCGAUUUGGUUGGAAAAAACCUGAAACCGAAUAAUUCGGAUUGGUUUUGGUUUCGUUCUAAAACCGACCCGAACCGAAGAUACCCAGCCCUAAGGUAAACGUACAAAAUGUAGCAUAUAGCUGGCCUGGUCCUGCGUUUCUUCGAAGCUUUCAUAACAUUCUACCAUUUCAAUCAUUUUCAGGAAGCAAAAUAAGACCCUUCACACUGUGCAUAGUCAUUUUAUUUGAUUUAGUGAUAGAAUUGAUCAAUAUUGUACCACAAACCACAUACAACCCUUCAACCCAAAUCAGGAAACGGAUGUGUAACUAGGGCCACAGGAAGGAUUAAGAUAGAGAGAAGUUUCAAUGAUGAGUGCAUUGCUAGCUAACCUAAUCUUUAAAGCUCAAGCACAGUUCAUGAAAAUCUGAAGAUUCAGUUUGAGUUUAAUUUUUGCUUGAGCAAAAUAGCAUGGCUUCCUCAAUAUGGCUUCUUCUUCUUUUCUUUAUCGUUCCUAUAGUCUUAGACCAGCUUGUUGCUCCCACCACAGCCCAAGAUGACGCUAUAUGCACUGGGGCAGCUGAAUUCUGCUGGAAAUGUUCCGAUAUCGGAAACUAUGCUAAUGGCAGCAUCUACCAACAAAACCUCAACACCCUUCUCUCCAACUUCUCCUCCAACCUGCCCGACUCUGGCUUUUACAACUCCUCUUUCGGAGAAGACUCCAACAAAGUGUAUGCAAUUGCAUUAUGCAGAGGAGAUCUCGGACCUGUCAGAUGUGGUACCUGUGUCAGCGACUCUGCUGAGAUUAUCAUGCGAAAUUGCUCGCAGGAAAAGGAGGCAAUCUUAUGGUCCGAGGAUUGCAUGUUACGUUACUCGCAAAGGUUAAUAUUUGGUAUUGAGGAAGAGGACCCUGUCAAGCCUUUGCCUAGUCCAAACUUCGUAUCAAACGCGGAAGCAUUCAACCUGGUGCUGAACACCGUUUUGGAUAAUUUAACUGAGAGAGCUGCUAAUUUAGAUAAUUUUGGUAAAAUAUAUGCAGCGGGACAUGCAACUGUUCCAGGUGGUAAUGAAAUGAUAUAUGCACUUGUGCAAUGUACUCCGGAUAUAGACAAAGGAAAUUGCAGUGCUUGCCUUAAGAAAUGCAUCUCUGCUAUUCCAAUAUGUUGCGGCACAAAGCAAGAAGCUAGAAUUCUUAGACCAAGCUGUAAUUUGAGGUAUGAGGCCACUCAAUUCUAUGAGUCUACAGCUGAUACAAUAGUAGAUGUUUCAGCUCAGGUUACUCCAGCAACUCCAACUACAGUUCCAGCAAAGCAAGGUAUAUAUGUUUUUCCAAGCAUGCAUGCUCUUACACACAGUAUCUGUUACAUCAUCUAUGCUACAUGGAUUCAAUUAAACUAGCAAGAAAUUGCCCAGAUUUGUGUGGACCGUGAGUCCUCUCUAAAAGUCUAUAUAUGUUCUUGUUUUAUUCAGGACAGAAGAGUAACACGAAAAAAACUAUCAUCAUCGUUGUUGUGGCUGUUGUUGCUUUUGUAACUAUGCUUCUCGGUGGCAUAUGCAUUUUCUUACGAUUCAAGCAACAAAGGGUAAAACUCGGAAAAAGAGUACCACUUGAAGGUAAUGUAUUAAGUUAAGUCGUCUAUAAUUUCGAAAAUGUAUGUGUAUAUAACUUUAAUAUUUUCAUACAAAGUUAUAUUUAAGUUGUACCUUUUUCAGAUCAUGAUUCUUCUCAAGCAGUUAGUUUCGUGGAAUCAUUGCAAUAUGAUUUUGAAAUUAUAAGAGCUGCAACAGAUGAUUUUUCUGAUGAAAAUAAGCUUGGACAAGGUGGAUUUGGAGCUGUUUACAAGGUAAAAAAAAAUUGCUUUGGAGCUGUUUACCAUAGUAAGAUUCUUUCCUUUUUCUUAUAACACAGUUUUUUGUUUCAUUAAACUUACUUCCAGGGUAUGCUGUUGAACGGACAAUAUAUUGCCGUGAAAAGGCUCUCCAAGAGUUCUGAACAGGGUGAUCGUGAAUUUAAAAAUGAAGCCAUGUUGCUUGCUCAACUGCAACACCGGAACUUAGUAAGGCUAUUAGGCUUUUGCUUAAAAGGAGAAGAAAGGCUCCUCAUUUACGAAUAUAUACCUAACACAAGUCUGAAUCACUUCCUUUUUGGUAUGGUAACCUCUUCUCAGUAUAUUUCAUAGUUCUUUCUUAUAGAUUUUACAGUACAACACCAAAGCAUACUACAUUAAUUUGUCUAACAAAUAAAAUUGCUUUUAGAUCCCAUCAAUUAUGGAUAUUUGGAUUGGGAAACACGUUACAAGAUCAUAGGAGGAAUUGUUCGUGGUCUUCUUUACCUCCAUGAAGAUUCUCGACUUCGAAUUAUUCAUCGCGAUCUCAAACCUAGCAACAUUCUGCUAGGUGAGGAUAUGAAUCCUAAAAUUGCAGAUUUUGGUAUGGCAAGAUUGUUUGGUAUGGAUCAAACUCAAGGAGAUACAAAGACUAUUGUGGGGACCUAGUAAGUAAACAUGGCACUCUAACUUUUGUUUUGUUCAUCUUAGAACCAAAAUAAUUGUAUAUUUGAUCUGAUGUAAUCAUGCACUGGAUAUAUGGCGCCAGAAUAUGCAAUGCACGGGCGCUUUUCUGUCAAAUCGGAUGUCUUUAGUUUCGGCGUGAUAGUUGUUGAGAUAGUUAGUGGUAAGAAAAUUGGUACCUUUCGGAAUGGUGAAAAUGAAGAGGACCUUCUAAGCUAUGUGAGUAAAAAUCUACAAUUAAAUGUCCAUAUAUUUCUCUAUUAUCUCUCCAAAUGAAAAACGUAAUAGGUAAUGUAUUAUUGGUUGCGUAAUGUAUUAUAUAUUUUUGUAAUCUUUGUAGGUCUGGAGAAAUUGGAGGGACGAUACAAUUCCAAAUAUCAUAGAUCCCAAGUUGACAACAGGCUCAAGAAAUGAAAUGAUCAAAUGCAUCCACAUUGGUUUACUAUGUGUCCAAGAAAAUGUGAAUGACAGACCAACCAUAGCUUCAGUUGUUUCCAUGCUGAACAGUAAGUCUCUCACACUCUCAGUGCCCUCAAAACCUGCAUAUUAUUGGCAAUACAACUCUAUAUCAGACACAGAGACGUCCGGUACAUCGGAAAGCUCUAUAUAUGUCACUACUACGAUUGGGCUCAAUGGCAACACUUGUAUUGCCACAAAAUGAAUAUAUUGUGGUCAUGGGAUGAUACCCACUCCAAUUGAAUACAAAAGUCUAUAUAUCUCCCACAUUCAAACAUGAAAAUGUGAUUUUUUAUUUCUAUUUAUAUCUGACAAUACUGUUAUUGGGCCCAUCUUUAAUAUAAACUGUGUGUUUUAUAUAUUUGUAUAAUGGUAAUUGAUAGGAAAACAAGGUUAAACAAAUAUUAACCAUCUUUUUUGUGUUUACUCAUCGAUGAAAAACUUCUUUUUUGUUUUAACCAGACAAAAUAUUAACUUUUUUUGUUUCUUUAUAUCGUUUGGUUUUAGGUUUGAGGAAGAAACAAACUCCACAACCAGAAUACCUCCAGAACCACCACCACCACCACCACCACCAUACCAACCUCCACACCCUAAAUAUCAAUUUUGACGCAGGAAGGAAGUCUUCUUUUACCCAUCGAUGAAAACCUUCUUCUUUGUAUGUCGAAGCAAAAAUAACUCUGAUGCAGGAGCAUAUAAGGAAAUACUUAAUUAUAGAUUCGUAAUCUUUGAUAUUUCAUUAUUUUUGACAGGUAAAGCCAUACGGCAAAUUCAUUAAUACUCAAGCCAGAAUGGCACGGAUACAUGCCUUCCCUUGCCAAACAAUCGGGCAAGUUAAGGACUUGGCAUGCUAGCACCACUCAUUACAUAGAUUCCGUUCACUUAUUUCGAGCAGCAAAGCAAGAAAUACUAGAGAAAAAACAGAAAACAAAACUAGAGUCCACUAUGAAUCAAAACCAUAGUAAUUAUUCAAGAUCAAAAACUAUAGAAUUACUGUUUCUCCUUACCCUUAUCAGAAGGGCUUGGAGACCUGGUGAAGAAGCCAAAGAUGUCUUCCACUGAGCUAGUAUUGGCCCGAGCUUGUGCCCUGGAGGGUUUCUUGUUCUUCGAACCGAAAGGACGUCCUCGCUUCUUCUUCGGAGCAGCUUUCAAGGUGGCAUGCUCUCUAGGGAUCAACACAUUUCCCUAGCACCCACUAAAUUCAGAGAUCUUGCAGUAAAAGUCGAUGUAAAUUGUGGCAUCUUCAACUUCUUUAAAGGUACAUCAUCAAAGAAAGACUUGAACAAUGAGGGCAGUGGAGCUGCAAGUUUAACUGGGGACUUUGUGAGAGCAGGAGGCUGCUGCCUCUUCACGACCAUCUUCAAACUCAUUGGAGCAAAAGGCAAUGCCAAGGUAAGAGCCUGUUGCUUGUCAGCUUCACUUGUUGGCACCACCGAAUCUGCUUCACCUGUUUGCACCACCGAAUCUGCUUCAUCUGUUGGCAUCACAGAUUCAGCUUCUAACUCCACUUCAUCCUCACGAAUCAUAUCAAGGCAAAGGGUUUGUGUGGGUCCCGAGCUAGGGCAAGUAGUGCCCUUCUCUACAUUUGAGUCCGCUUCUUCUUGAAAUAAUUUCUUCUUCAGAAUAAUUGGGCGCCUAGCCUUUGAUGGAGUCGCACCAGCACCGAAAGGCAAGCUGGUAGGGUUAGGGAGUCCUCCUUGAAACCGAAAAUUUGUUUCCAUGAGAUUUCCCAGUCCUCCCACAGGUGUAACUUUCAAAGAAGGUAUUUGCAAACCCGGAGCUUUUGGGAUUUGCUUUCCCAACGGGCAACGAUCCACAACAUGAUAAAUCAGAUUACAAUGUUCACAAAUUGAUGCCAUGUUUUCAUAGAAAAAGUGAAUUUCCUUCUCCACAUUGACAUCCAACUGCAACUUCUUUUUCAAAAAGAAAGGCUGUGCAAUAUCAUGAGCAACAAAAACCCUAGCCUUCUUUGUAUUACGAAACAAUUUAUGGUCAGUGUUGAUGUACUUACCGGCCACAGGAGCGAUGUCUUUGAUCAUAGGUUUAGUGGAGUACAAAGGAGGGAUUUGGAGGAUGCGCACCCAAAAGUACAGCAACGUCAUCGGGAUCUCAUCAAAAGGUGCAAUCCCAUCAUAGUACUCCUGUAAAACAACCGGAGCGUGAUGAAAAUUCUAAGGUCCUCCCCAAAUCACUCUGUUCCGAUCCUUCUUGAGGUCAAAACUGAGGAGAAAGAGAUUCUCUUCACAGGAUUGAAUGGUGAAUUUUCCUUCAAGCACCCAGACAUCUCGAAAAAAGCUUUUCAGAGCCGAGAGCUUUGUAGGGUUUGUUGCCAAAGGGCGCGCCAGCAGGUAGGAUUGCGUGGCUCUGUGCUUGGCUCCCGAGCGAGAGAGAUCAAUAGUGUCAUUUCUAGCAAGGGCCAAUGAUGAAGCAAACGAUUUUGUAACGUCUUCGAUCGACAUCUCGACAAAGUUUGGCAAGUAGGCGGCUGCGCGGUUUCCUUGGUUGACGGCCGAGAGAAAAACUCUUGCCUUAGGGUUUUUUUAGACAAUAUUGUUCUUGAAUUUUAUUGUAUCACUUUGAUAUUUCAUUAUUGAUAUAGUUUUAGGGAGUUAUUUUAUAAUUAUUAGGAUUUACGUUUAAUUAGCUUUCCUUUUAGAUUUAAACUACUUAUUCUACAAGUAUUGUAACCUAUAUAAAUAUGAGUAUUGUAAUAGUUGUUAAAGAGCUUUUGUUUUAUGAAUAAAAAUCAGUCUAUUUGCGGCAUGGAUUUGCCCUUUUAUACGAGUUUACUAAUCUUUAUUUUUGGUGUCUGUUGAGUGACUGUUGGAGGCUUGUUCUUGAUCCUUCAUCCGCAUCAAACUCUGACGAAAGAAGAACGGCGAAGCUGUGAGAAAAUCAGGUCAGUAUUGAAAGACUGCUUUCUCCACCUCAGAAUCAUAAUUGUAUGUAUUUCUUCCUCCGAUAAGUUCCCAAUUCACUCUAUUUUUUUGGAUGGAUAAAUAUUUGUUAUCUUCAAAUUUAGAGUUAUUCGUCCGCCGUAGCCGUUCUUAGGUGUGGAGAAGAGGGGAAUGAUGUUGGUAAGAUGGGCCAUGUUCGCUCUAUCUUUUGCCGCAUUUGGAUAGAAGGGAGAGGACCUAGAUAUAUUCUGUGGGAGGCUUUAAUCUUUUCUGAAGAGAAGAUUCUGAUAUCUUUCCUCUUCUUGUUUUCUCGUUUUUCUGAUAAAGGACAGUAGAUAACGAAGUUGGAAUUUGUUUUUUUUUUUUCGAGAAUGGUCCCUUUGUUCUUAUUAUGUUUUUGUAAAUCUAAAACCAAGUACUCUGAAUACUUAAUUACUGAGCUAUUUCCAAGAUGUCAAUGGAACUUGAACCUUAAACGGUAGUAUUACAAACUAUUUACAGUAUUUCAUAUAUGAUGAACUAAUCUAACGAUUCUGAAUGAAAAACACCAUAGACAACUCUAAUAUAGAGAUCCGACUUUAUAUUCCGUGCUAUUCCUAGGUAGCUUAACACAUGUCUUAUCCAUUGAACCUGCAACCAACGUGGAAAGUUAUGAUCAGAUGGAGCACUGCAGCUUCUUAUAUUUCCUUGUUGCUUGGUGGACUUCCUUAUUCUAUUUUAUUUAUUUGGUCCAAGUCCACAGGGACCUCAAAUAUACAAAUGAAUUCACAAUAAAGCAAAAUAUUCAUGAGCCGUAUAACAAUACAUACGAAGUGCAUUGUUUAAAGAAAUCAGAGGAGAUAGCAGUAAAAAAAAAACAAAAGGAACUAAGUAAUUGGCCAAACUAACAUGUGGAUAAUUCCCAACCAGUUGACAUGAAAUAUAAAUUUAAUUUGACUCAUGUUAAAGCCCUACAAACUGAGAGAGAAAGCUAAAUACAAACACAGAAAGCACCAAACUUAGUAAAGCCAAAGAGUUUAAACCAAAGAGUUUGUGCAGAUGUUUGAGCAAUGCCUUUUUUUUUCAAAGGAAAACAAGAUUAAGAACCUUACUAAACUUACAAAGCUACACCUGAAAAGCAAGCAAACAACAAUGACAAGAACCAAAACUUAGAACCAUUCCAUGAAGUUUCUUUCUUCCAUCCAAACAUGACACGAAAUAGAGCCAACACCUCCCUUAAGAGAAGAAUGUGAUAUCUUUUCUGUUCAAUGAUAUAUACAGAAUGUAAAAUAAUAUAACAACUGCAUUAUACUAUUUUUACCGUUGUCAUAUUUUCCUCAUACGCAUAAUCCUCCGCACAUAAUCAUCCCUGAAACCCCUCUAGGGACCAAUAAUCAAGCUAGUAAACAAGGUAAAUAUUUUAGGGUCGGAAUGUGACAGAUAACAACAUGUACAGUUGCUUCAUGCAAAGCCAUGGGGGGAGAUUGUAAACAGUUAAAACUACUGGCAAAGUACUAUGAGCUGAAGAUAUAUUACCGAAUGGAUUGGAACCAUCACUUGCCAAGCCUAACCUGACAUUCCGAGCCUCUUGUGCAAAUGAGGGAUACAAUCUGUCCAAUUCUUUCCAAGCAGGUGAAUCAGCAGGAUGCCUCAUUCUUCCAUCUUUGGGUCGAUCAGUGGCAUGCCAUGUCAUGUUAUUGGAGGUACACCUUGACAUAAAUAGACGUUGAAGACGUGGUGCCACAGGAAAAUAUCUCAAAACCUUUGCAGAUACCUUUUUUGUUGUACCAUCUUCAGCGGUUUCAUACAAGUACCUGCUUGCCCCACAAGUUUCACACUCAUCAAGAUCAUCAGGUUUUUUCCAGUAUAUCAUGCAAUCAUUUGGGCAACAAUCAAUUUUUUCAUAACAUAAUCCAAGAUCACAAAUUAACUAUUUUGCUUGAGAGAACUUAGCUGGUAGUGUGUCACCAUCUGGAAGUAUUGAUUUGGUUAGCUUUAAUAAGCGUGAAAAGGUCUGGUCAGAGAUAUUUCCCAAACACUUGAUUUGAUACAAGCGCACCAGAAACUCCAAUUUUUUCAUUUUUGUGGAACCUGGAUACAAAUCAACAUUGGCCUCAUUUACCAAAUUGUAAAAUCUUUGCAUUUCUGCAGGUACAUGGUUCUGGGUUUCACCAUCAUCUCCAAUGUGGGGUGGGUGAACCAGGUGGACUGUUAUUUGCAAAUGCAUCUGUCAACAUAUCAUUAAUGUCUAGAUUGAACUCAGGUUGUUCCUCCAUUUCUUCUUCGGUUUCAUCUAAGAAGGACGGGGGGGGNGGGGGNGGGGNNNNNNNNNNNNNNNNNNNNNNNNNNNNNNNNNNNNNNNNNNNNNNNNNCGGCGCCGGCCAUGUGGUGGGAUUUGGAGGUAGGGAAAGAGAGAGAGAGAUGGUAAAAAGAUUAACCAGGGCUAUUUUAGUCAUUUUAGUCGAGAUUGAUGUCAUUUUGAAAGUUUAGGUAUGAAACUGAUUAAAAAAAAAGAAUGAGGUAUCAAACUGAUUUUAGACCUAAAGUUCAGGGUAGUAAACUGAAUUUUUUCCUUGUUUAUAUUACUAACUUUUACAUGACCAUUGUUACAGGAGCACCCUUAGUCCUCGGAUUGAUCGAACCUUAUUUGCCUUAUACUACGAUUGUCAAAAAGGGUUCCUAAUUGUCACACCCGGUUUUCGGUGGUUGUCAGGGCUUUGCAUCUAGUAAUUAGAAGAUGAAUUUGAGGCGUAACUGCAAUAUAAUUCAUAUUAGCUUCUUGUGAUUAAGAAUUGUGAAUUACAUUAUUGUCGUAACUGAAGUAAUGGUUUGCAUGAUUCUCUUGUUUUCUUAAACGUAAUGAGUCUUACAUGUUAAAUUUAUGCCGUAACUAGAUAGACUGCAUGCUAGGAUGUAUGACCUCUGCCGUACCUGGAGAGAAUCAUACACUUAAGGAAAACUAUGGUCUAAGUGCUGUAACUGGACUUAGAUAUGGGAAUUGUUAUCUAGAGAAACGAAAGAGUCUGUUAAUUACAUCAAAGCAUAAACAUGAUUGUCAGUGGUUGAUUCUGACACCCUUAGUUCAUUCAUCAUUGUUUGUUUGUUUCUUUAAAUUGUUAUCGUGAUCUUGUGUUUUAGUAUAGUUAGUUUAGGUAUAUCAUAAUUUGAAUUGAACUAAUAUCCUCAUGGGAACGACAACCCCUUUUCUUCCAUUCACUAUAUUACAUCCACCCUGUAUACUUGCAGGAAUCCAUCAAACAUGUGAACUUCUUGAUUGGUUAUGCCGAAGUAAGGAUGUGACACACGGAGGUAUAGGACUUAAAGGUCAUUAGGUUCCUGUGGGGAUCACUAAAUUGAAGGAUAUCCAAUAAGGGAAUGUGCGAUGUGAUGAAUUACGGAAGUGAUGUGUAUACAAUAUACGUAUUUUGUAGCGUGUGUAAAAUGACAUGGGUUUGCGGGCAUAUUACAUUGGUUUACUCACUGAGUGCGUUGUUAUGCUCACCCACCCAUCUCUAAUAUUUUUUUGCAGAGAAGUACUUAGAUUUGAUCGAGCCAGGAAAGGGUAGCCGACGAGCCUAGAAGAUAGUGUUUUUAUUUUAUUCCGCUUUGUAACACUCGUUCACGCCUCGAGAACGGCGUCCGGUGCUUAAAACCCGCCGACGUCGGGACCGGGGUGUGACAAAAGGCUUGCCAGCAGACCCAUUGGUGCGAAUCUCACCAAGGUCCGAAUUUUCAUUUUUCAUAUCCUCUGCGUAAUUCGCCCCAAUUACAUAUUCUAAAGGCUGGUAAACGAGUCCCCCACCUUUGUCUCGAAUACUCAUAAGAGAUGCAACAGUCCUUCCUACAUUACACAACUCAUUUGAAUGUUGCAUUUCAUCAAACAAGUGGAGUGCAUGACAUUCUCUCCCAUUCUCACCUGAAUUUGGUCCUUGCAUAUUAUCUUUCCUAACACUCGCACCAACAGGAAUUGAUCCAACAGACACAUAAUCAACAACACCACAACCAUUAUUCACGAAACUGAGAGUUCUAGUAUCACUUAUUGGACAAAAGGAUGCAUGCGUGUUGUUCACUUGAGCCGACAUAGUGUUGUUGAGUAGAGAAGGCACAACUAAGCUCUGGGAUCUCAAUUAGCCUUGACAUCUUAAGCUAUUUCAGCCACAAGGCGUUGGAAAGAGAACUUGCGUUUCGGGUGCUUGCUAGUUGCAAGGGGCUCGUUGAUUCCCGGCCUAGAUCGGUGUCUCUUCUUCACUCCUGCAGUGACCGCAGUCGACUUGAGAGCGACUUGCUUGCAGCGAGCCUUCCAGAGAUGAGAGUGAACAAUCCCAAUUUGAGAUUUGGGAUCAAAAAUUAGAGUUGAUGAAUGCUUCAAUGGUCGCUGCUGGUAGUGGGCUGGUGGUGGUGUUGUCAAUCAAAAUUGCUCUAACACGUUAUGAAUCACACUUUGCAUCUUGGAUUGAAACGACGGUAAAGUGUUUUCCAGUGCACGGCUCAUUGCAAGGAGAAACAAAUCUUCGCUGAGCACAAGAGGUUCGACGCCGAGCGGCGGAAUCACCGGUUGCCCAGCUCCCAAAAACAUGGUUCUGGAUACCAAUUGUUAGGGUAUUAGCCCUAACUAGAGAGAAAAGCAAAGAAAUGAAAGAAAUUAAAAUGCUGAUAUUUUCAUUGACAUUGAGCAAAAACUCUCAAAGUAGUACAUAUAGACCUAUUUGGCUGGUCACGUGCACGGCACAUGACUAAGUGAGUAAAAUAUUAUAACAAAAUAUCUCUAGAAUAGCUCAACACCGAGGGGGUCUCCCUAGUGGUAGCAACAUAAGCAAAUGUCGAGUCUUCUUGCCCAAAGGCUUAAUAAAACUUCAUUAACCAGAACAAUAUCAAUUCCAGCUUGCUAAACCUUAUUCACACUACAUUUCGGUCGUCGGCCUUUUGUCUUCUUCACUGGAGACACAAUUAUCCCACCGUCAUGAGAAGCAAGAGCUAGAGAGGAUUCAAGAUCCAGAGCCACCAUCUCUGGAGCUACCACCUUGGAGAGGUUUAAGUAUGUCAUAAUCAACUUUAGUGGAAGAUGGCGUUUUAAACCCAAAUGUCAUCUUAUGCCUAAUAAAAUUAACAUACUAAAUGUUAGUUUCUUUAAAAGGUCAAACAUUGUUUAAAAUAUUUUUCCUAUUAAGUGUGUCAUUCCACGUUUAAGGUUGGUAUUUAUACCCAUUGGGUAUUACCCAGCCCAAGAAAGGUUUAUAGGUAAUACCGACUGAGUAAUACCCAGCCCAUUACAUAAUAUGUUGGGUAUGGGUAUUACCCAUCCAUUGCUAAAUGGGUAAAUUCAUUACCCACCCAUUUACCUAUGUUGUACUUUAUUAUCAAAUAGUAAACUACAUUUUAGUUACUAAUUAAUUUCAGUUUACAAAUACAUCAUUUACACAUUAUUUUACACAUAUAAGGACAAAAUUUUACAAUUAAGGACAAAUUGUUAUGUUGUUGACAUGUGUCAGCUACAUAUUUAUAAUUUGACCCUUCAUUAAAACUAAAACAGAGUUAACUGAACUAUAAAGGAAGUUAAUUUACAAACGAGCUGAAUAACCUGUUAAUGUCGAUCAAGGUAUUGUUGACUGCUACUGCUGGCUUCUACUACCAAUCUGCAUGCUAUUGCCGACUUAUACUACCAAUUCGUCUGCUACUGACGACUUCUACUACCAAUCUGCCUGCUACUGCCUAUGUUUGCUACUCAUCCCACUCUGCUACUACCUACUUCUAUAAUUCUCAGUCCCAAACUAGCUACUACUGCGGAUCCUGAAGCUAACUGCUACUGCCGAUUGUGAAACUCGUUGCUAUUGUCGACCGCGAAUCUAGCUGCUAUUGUAGACCGCGAAUCUAGCUGCUACUACCAAGAAAAGUUGAAAAAUGUCCCAACCAGUAGCAAAAUGUGUAGAUUCCCUACCAUCUAGCUGCUAUUGUGAAAUUUAGCUGCUACUGCAAAAUCUAGUUGCUACUGUGAAAUUUUAAUCAAAUUCUCCACCAUCUAGCCAUGAAUCAACUUGCAACUAGAGCGUAGAUCUUACCAACAUAUGUGCAAAAAUCAGGUAUCGACGAGUAUCCGUCUUCAGAGAUGUGUGGUAGAGGACGAGGUGGAGAUCUCCGACAAAGAUGAGGAUGUGUCGACCUGAGAUCGCUCCGGCGACGUUGAGGCAGUGGCGUCCUUAUCGAAGCAUCAUCGUCAUCGACAUCGAAGCGACGUCGUUGUCGUCGAGGCGGUGGUGGCGUCGUCGAGGCAUCGAAGCGGCGUUGUCAUCCUACACUUUGUCAUCUGAGAGAGACCUCGUCACCGUCUUUGUAGAUCAACCGGGAGAGAGAGAGAGAGAGAGAGAGAGAGAGAGAGAGAGAGAGAGAGAGAGAGAGAGAGAGAGGUAGGUAGGUUAGGUUAGGUUNNNNNNNNNNNNNNNNNNNNAGAGAGAGAGAGAGGUAGGUUUGUGUUGUGUGGUUAAAGAUCGGAUCUGAUUUGAGUGGCAAUCAUGUAGUUCUUUUUAGAAAAAUGGUAUUUUCAUUACUUCAUUCAAAAUAUUGGGCCAUGUCCGUUUCAUUUUUAUGAUGGCCCAAGUUGUGUGUCCUAAUUUGUUUAAAUAUUCUAACUAGUGAGUUUUUUAUUUUUUGAAUUUUAGUUUGUUACUUAUAUGUAAUUUACUCUCUAACCCUCAAGCUGUGACCAGAGAGGGAGAAUCAAAGAGAAGAGUCCAUCAACCUCUUCUACAAAUCCAGCGAGGUUCUGACGAUCUCGAGCCCUUUUUCAGCUUGCAUGUGGUAAUCCCUCAAUCCAUUAUUCAGUCUCAACUUUUCCUAGUGUGUAAUUUCUCGAUUUGAAGCCUAACUAACUAACUAACCCCUCUAUUCAAGGAUUUUGCUCCGUCGCACCUACUGACGGCGACGACAUCUCUAGCAGUAUUGGCCUCCUUCCUAGCGUUUUACCGACCACAGAAGAAACUAAAAGGAGUUUAGGAGCUUGGGAAGUCUAAUGGAGAUCCGACCACAUAUGCAGCUGCAUUGAGAACAUGGUUUCCGCCUUUGGGUUCGACGGAGACGAAUUGAGCCUUUCGUUAAGGAUAGCAGCACCGGCUAGUGGUUGUGAAGGUAGAAAUGUUGUGUUUUGGAGAUUGUGAAAUUGGUUGGUUCUGAAGUUGUGUAGGUGGUGUGUAUUGGGUUAUGUCGGAGUUGGAUUUAAUUGUAGCUUUGGGCAGAUAGAGAUAGAGUAAGACUGGAUUUUCAUUUGAAAUUCGAUCUCCGAGCACUUAAUAAAUCUUAGAAAAGAUGCGGCCAACAAUGGUUGGGAAAAGAAAAAAGAGAUGAAGACAUUCGUAGUCGAUGGUAGAGUUAGGAAUGCAUGUUCACGGGGGUCAUAUAAAAAAUUAGUAUGGAACUUCUGCAUCGAAAGUGGAUAAAUAAACUAGAUGGUAAAGCUAAAAUUGAAGAAAUCAUGGGGUGCCAUGGCACCCUUUAGUCUGGUUGUAGCUCCACCUAUGGUAGUCGAAUGGCUAUUGUCGUAUUGAAAUCUUCUGUGAUGGGUAAAAUUUGGGUACCCAUGGGUAUUAUUCAUACCCAGUCCCUUUCAUGCGUGGGUAUUUUCAAAUUACACAUACCCACUCAUAUUACUCAAAAGAACGCACCACAUAACAUCAUUCAGAAUCCCAAAGCAAAAACCUAGUUGGGAUCAAAGUCCCGACUGAUAUAUUAAAUAAUCAGAACAAAUUGAUCAACAAAAGAGGAACAACAUCAACAAACCUCCUUCCCAUCCUCGAAUUUCAUAGUCUGAGAAUCUAUAGGAGCUAGCGCUUAAGACAAUUGAAUUACUUGCAUUCAUCGAUUACUUGGAUGAAUUUAUUAUUUGACUAGUUUGUUGAGGAUUCCUUCAACCAUGAUUUUUUUAUCUAUUUGAAUCUCAAUUUGGUUCCAGUUCCAUUAAUUUACCCAAGCACUUGAAUUUGUGAUUCUUGUAGAAAGCAUUUUCAAAAUUCUAAGUAAUGAAAUCCCAACAAACUAAUUAUAACAGAAUUCAAAUUCAUGGAAUCAUAAUUCUCAUGAUUUAAGAAUAUAUGUGGAAAUCGAAACAACUUCAUCCAAGCACGUUGUGAAAUUAAAAACAUCGCAUAAUUAUGGAAUUGAAUAGGUAACAUAUAUGUUGGAGCGAGGGAAACCCUUCUAAUGAAGACCCUUAAGUUGAGAACUAGUUAAGGACUUUUCGGCUUAUCCCACUUUUCGAUCUUAUAUCCACAUCCUGACCAUUCAGUUUAUAGGUAUUUAUGAGUAGAUCAUUUCUGUAAAUUUUUAGCCAUAUUAAAAAUCGUUAAGACAUUCAUAAGUGUGAUUUACCAAUUAUGAACUUGAAACUCGGGUUCUAAAGAAACGCAAGGCAAAUUUACUAAAAUUGAACCCGUUCAUGUUUGACAGAUUUGGUUCGUUCAUUAAUUUGAUCUAGUUUGUUACCUUAACGAUCACCGAUUUGGCUGAAAAUUUUUAGGGUUGAUCUACACAUAUAGACCUAAAAACUGAACGGAUGAGAUGUCAAGAUGUGAUCGAAAAAUAAGUCUUUUAAACCAUAAACCGAAAAGUCAUCAACUAGUCAUCAACGUAAGGGUCCUCACUAGAAGGGCUCCCUGUGUUAGAGAUAGAGAGGAAACAUUAUGAAAAUUUUGAUUUUGUUUAUUAUAGGAGAUGUUAUUGGAAUUUCUCAUAUAACAUUUCAAACUAUAGGCAUCGAAGGUGGCCAGCUUAACCAGCCGUAACAAUUCAAACUAUGAGCAUCGAAGUUGUGCAUGCAUGGCCAUAUGGGGUAACAAUCCACGAGCAGUUUUUACACUUAUCUCUUUCAGAAUUGUAUAUAUUUCCUAGGUGCUCAAUAUUUUGGUGAACAUCAGUUUUCCAACCAAAUCUGCAGACUACAGGUGAAUAUUGUAUCGUGGAGAAUACCAAUUCGAAAACCAAGAUUAAAGGAGGAUAAAGGGGGGAGGAUGUGGACACCAAGAUCAUCAUCUUUGAACCAUCAAUGAGCUUGGAGAACCAAGUCUCCACCCAACUCAUUAGCAACUGUUACAUGAACUUUUCCAAAUGACCCAUCGUCAGAUGCCGCACGUGUAGUUAGGAACAAAGAAAGCAGAGCUGCAAGUAAGUUGAUGUAUAUGCAAGAAGCCAUGACUAUUUGAGGGGCGCUACUAUUUUCCACACAGUUGAAGAUUUAUUCGUUUCACCCAUUUUUCGAUCUCAUAUUUAUAUCUCUACUGUUUAGUUUGUGGAUAUAUACCAGUAGAUCAUCUCUGUAAAUUUUCAUCUAAAUUGAAAAUCGUUGAGACAUUCAUAAACAUGAUUUACCAAUUAUAAACCUGAACGGUUCAUGCUUAACAGAUUUGGAUCGUCCAUUGAUUUGAUUUAGUAAUGAUCACUAAUUUGACUAAAAAUUUGUAUAAGUGAUCUACUAAUAUAGACAUAAAAGCUGAACGAUUGAGAUAAAAAAAAUGUAAUUAAAAAAUGGGUGUAAUUAAACGAUUAAUGAGAAAGACAUCAACUUAGUGAUCAUCAUUAGAACCCCUCCAUACUGUGGAUUCAUACUCUUUAAACAACUUUUUAGAGAUUCUCCAUAUAUAUAUUUUUUAGCUAUUUUAGUAGAGAUCUCGUUUAAUUGUAACUAUUAUAGCACCUCCUUAAACAACUUUAUAUUUUAGAAAAUUUCAUCUAAGUCACAUUCUCCACAUUUUCUCCCACAUAAGUCCACCCUGAUUUUUUUACCCAGAUAAGUCCACUUUUCUUUCUCAAAUUAUUUCAUCCUGACUAUUUUACCUUUGUACUAAAUCUCUCUCUCUCUCUCNNNNNNNNNNNNNNNNNNNNUCUCUCUCUCUCUCUCUCUCUCUCUCUCUCUCUCUCUCUCUCUCUCUCUCUCUCUCUCUCUCUCUCUCUCUCUCUCUCUUUCUGCCUUUCGCUCGACUUCUCUCUCUCUCUCCUUAUUCUUCCACCUCCGAUUCCGGCGACGUCGCCGCCGCACACCUCUCUUUCUCUCUCUCGAACAUACAAUGGUCGACCGAGACGGUGGCUCCGCCAUGCUCAAAGACACCGCAACGGCAAUCUUUGCAUUUGCGUGAUCCAGAAAGUUGAUGCCAACGAUCUGGAUCUCAACAAUGAUGUGGAUGAUCUAAUCCGGUAGGCGGCAAUGGCCUCGACGAAGAAGGUUUGGUUGAGAGGCACACCGGUCAAGGAGAAUGACAUCAAUCUCGAGGAGGAAGGCCUCAACGUCGUCGCUACGUUUAGUCCUAUGAGAUCUCGGAUAUGCCGACCUAACGAGGUGUCCUUCAAUCUCAGAAAUGCAGACCUAGCGAGGCAUCCUUCGUCAUCUCCAAUCAGUCGCGUUCGAUUGCAUUUCUGAUCGGUCAAACGCCGAGGAAUUUCGUGACUCAUCAUCUGUAGCGAGCGAAGACCGAAGCUCCGUCAACGGAGCGACGUCUUUUCUGUCGUCGUCGGCAGCCGGAUCCGAUCUGCAAUUCUCUUGAUUUCCUUUUAUGCUUAAGCUUUAAUCUUCUAAUAAUUGUUUGUUUGUUUUUUUGGUUGAGUAAAUAUCUUGUAGUAGUUUUUGUCAGUGACAGCAGUAGCUUUUGUUAGUUAGAGUAGUAUUUUUUAUUAGUAACGAUAGUAGCUUAUAUUGAUGGAGGCAAUAGCUUUUAUGUCUGGCGAUCGUAGUUUUUGUAUAUAGGGGUAGUAGCUUUUGUUUAUGUUGGUAGUAGCUUUUGUUUAUGUCGGUAAUAGCUUUUGUUGUGGUGGUAGCUUUUGUAUAUAAGGGUAGUAGCUUUUGUUUAUGUUGGUAGUAGCUUUUGUUGGUAGCAGUAGUAGUUUUUGUAGUCAGUGGUAGUAGCUUUUGUUGUUGGCUGUAGUAGCUUUUGUUGCUGGUGAUAGUAGUUUUUGUAGUCGAUGGUAGUAGCUUUUCUAGCUAACGAUAAUAGCUUUUGUUGCUGACGGUAGUAGCUUUUGUAGUCGAUGGUAGUAGUUUUUCUAGUUAGGGUUAGUAGCUUUUGUUGCUGGCGGUAGUAGCUUUUGUAGUCGGUGGUAGUAGUUUUCGUAACUAUCGGAAACCUCACCGGAAGUCGGCCGGAGACAUCGCCGGAGGUAAGCCAGAGACUUUUCCGGGGAGGAGAGUGGUUGUUGAUUUUUUACAUUAAUGGUAUUUUUGUAAAUAUAAGAGAGAAAAUCUAAUUUUUUGGUUGGAUGGCAAUUUGUAAUUUAGUUGAACUUCAGUACCUUUAUUUAGGCUUGGGUGGACUUAUGUAGGUAAAAAUGUUUGGGUGGACCUCUAUAGGAUAAAAUGUCUCAAAAUGGAUUUUCAUGUAAUUGGCCCGUCUAAAAGUGGAUUUAUAUGGGUAAAAAAGUUAAGGUGGACUUGUGAAAGAAAAAAUAUUGAAAACUGGACUUCUAUGAAAUUUUCUAUUUCUUCUUUGUCGAAGACACAACCGUCCUAACAACAUGAGAAGAGCUAGAGAGGGUUCAUAAUCCAGAGCAACCAUCUCUAGAGGAACCACCACCUUGUAGAGUUUUAAGUAUGUCAUGAUCUACCCUGCCAGCAGAAUGUCGCGGUUCUGUACCGGUCGUGAGCAUCAGUACUGUAGCCUUCUCCUUUUUUCUUUUUCUUUUUUUUGAAAGAGUGUAGCCUUCUCCUUAGUUGGUCAAGGUUCACCAUUGCCGGCAUCCUCUCAUCACAGUAUUUUGAUGAGUCAUGAGCUUGGCAGAGACACCCUACACGAAAAACAGUAAGAAUUCAAUUGGUCCAAAAUCCUCAUAUUUUUAAACUGAAUCAGAAGUAAAAAUAUGAGGAUUUUUAGGCAUGUAAACCUAUUUUAGCCACUUCGCAUGUUGGUUGAAGAUGAGAUUUUGCAAAACCUAAACUUAUUAUAUAAGUUUGAGUAAAUUAGAUGCCCUAAUAUUCAUGGUUCAUAAGUUUUUUGCCUUAAGAGCCGGAUUACUAGCUGCUUCUCUUCAAGGUUAUUUGGGUGUUCAAGUUUAAGGUGAUUCAAAAGUUCUUAUUAACUAUCUCAAUAAUAAAGCUCAAGAUCAUUGUUGAAUUCGUAUGUACUAUUGUUCAAGAUAUGGGCAUCUUGCUCCUAGUUUCGAAGUUUUGAAGUUUAAGCAUGCUUGAAGAGAAGCCAAUUUUACUGCGGUGGUUUUUCUUUUACGUUAGUGCUUAUCCGGGAUUCCGGCGUUAAAAGACCCGAGCUUUACACUAUUCAAAGACUAGAGCCUCUAUAAUUUCCGGUCAAAGUAGCAAUGUUUAAAUGUCCAAUAAUAUCUAAAGUAUUCAGAACUCAAAUUGUUUCAUCGCCCAUGAAUCUGUUGAUCUUGCAGCCUGAUGAUUGCUAACGUUGUGCAUGUUCCCGACUGUCGUUGGUGGUAAAAAAAUUUUGACACCUAUCUGUGUAAACUGAUAGACAAGAGUGGGCAAAAACCCAGCUAAAGAAUUCUUAAACUGAUCUGAGCAGCUACCCUUAACGCCCUGAAUCUUACCUUUGACUAGAGACCCCACUUGAGCUCCAUCCAUAUAUGCUUUACAUGCACCUAGAAUGUCAUGAGUACGAUUGCAGAAAUGCCCGAUAACAAACUCCUCAAAAUGCUGCAACAAAAUGCACGAGCUAUAGCUGAGGAUUCAUAUUGAAACUCAGAAAUGGACAGAAUUUUAUACAAGAUGCAUGACAUUCCCCACAUGUGAUCGUGUGAUAUCUGAUAUGUUACAUACCUAUGUACAGCUUUCUACUCAAAAUUUCCAAAUAGCGGAAACUAAAAAUUGUUCUAACAUUGCACAUUACAUAACUAGAAACACUGUAGUUUGCUUGAGUAAAUAAUCCCGGAAUUCAGUAAAGCAUUUUAUCGAGAAAUCACGUAGGGUCAAUUCGUUCAUAUCAGACUAACGAUCUUCACAAUUCUAUCUAGCUCACAUAAGCAUGAAAGAUCACUUGGCAUGCUUUAAAUAUGAACUCAUGUCAUCAAUCCGACUUUAAAAUAGUUUUAGUCUGGACAUGAUAAAAAAAGUAUAUAUUCAUGUUAUUUGAAUUUCCUUUUGGAAAGUUUUGAUAUGGAUGUUUUUCAAAAAGUUCACUUUUUGAUGCAGAUGGACGGAGAUGAUAAACAAGCUAAUAAUCCAGAAAACUUCUUUUCCAAUCUCACAUUGCAGAAGACUGACCCCGACCAAUAAUACUAAGAAAUGGAAAGAAGAUAUCGACUCUUACCUUUGGAGGCGUCUUCAUCAUGUACACCAUCGUCCUCAGAGAUAGGAUGAAUGUGUUCUCAUUGUAAUUUUUUGAUUGUGUUACACCAGAUGGUGUACCCUUCAUAGGUGCCCAUCCAGGCUCAUUGAAGUAAGGCUCUGAAUUCAAGAUCAGCCCUUGUAUUGAGACCAAAACCUGAAGCAUCGUUGACUUGCUAGGAAUCCACUUUUCUUCUUUGCCCCCAGACCAAGUAUUAAGAAGGCUGAGGCAUACUUUUCCACAAGCAUACAGGUUUGGGUUUAGUCGAAGGCCAUGAGCGUGGUAGUAGACAUGCUGAUCGAUUACCAAAAUCCCAAGUUAGACACAUGAUCCAAGUAAACAUAAAUAAAUGCCAGAAAAACACCAAUCACAUACAGGCGGCCCUUUGGGGUAACCACUGGGGAAGGAAACAUCAAAGAAAAAGAGACCAUCAUGGUAAGGAGUACCCUCUGCUCCAACAAUUACAGCUCUCAGAAGAUCCAUUCUUGUCUCAUAAACUCUUACAGAUAUCAUAUCUGUCAAUGUGUUAAAAGAGGAAAGCUGAGGGUUCAGAUAUGAAGUGAAUUAUAUAUUAGUUAUUGCAUGCUACGGAAGAGUACUGCAACAAAUUUCCUAUUGCAUCAGAAAUUCAAAUUACACAUCGACAUCCUUAAAUCUAUGUUCCACGUACAUAUAUCCAAAUACUUGGCAUGAUGAUCAAAAGUAUUCUUGAUAGAAGAGACAAAAAGACUACAUGAACCUAAAAAAGCUUACUGCCAUAACAUAAAAGUAAUGCAUGAGGACUCACCAGGCAAGUCUUUCUCCAGGAUCUUCCACUCUCCCUGAAUUUUCUUUGCCCAGUUCUUCUGAAGCCAUCAAAGGAGUAAAAUCAGAAUAGCAUCAAAUAUAUACACUAAAGUAUGGAUAUGAAAAUGCUAAUGCUAAUGCAAUACAUCAUAUACACUCACCUGCUUUGUUGAAAGACUUGUCUUAGAAUAAUGAUGAUCUGAAUGAUCUACAACUGUAUCAAAUUGUUUGAAACCAUCUACCUUCCCCACAGUUUUAUCUGAACUCAUGCUAGAAACUUGCUUCACGGAGACAUCAUUUUGAGUUUGUGUUUGAAAGUUUGAUGAUUCUGCUCCCAAAGAGAGACUAGAAGCGCUCCCUUGUUGUUGCAGAUAGCUAAAUCCCAUAUGAGACAUCAUUUUGCUGCUGGAAACUUGUGGAAGUAUCCAAGAUGAUGAUACCCCAAGAGGGUGGCUAACAUCAUCGUUUUGGCUCUUCAAGCUUGAACUACUUCCAGAAACUGGUUUUACACUCCUCGUGCUAAAAUCUGAUAACGAGAGACCCACUGGGAAAUGUGCUUCUAUUCCAGGAGUAACAUCCACUUCAUCUAAAUAAGCUGUCAUUUGGGCAUACUCAUCGAUAUCUAUAAACUCGUCCAAAUAAAGACCAGCAUAGUCACCACUGGAAUAAGAUGCACCAGAACUGGGACCAUAAAUGUCGAUCACGUUAUGCGAUGCUGAGGCAAAGCUGUUAGCAGCCUGAUACUUUGUAUCAAAAGAACUACUUUCAGAAACUGCACUUUUAGUACUCUUAGGUGGAUCAAACCAAGGGAUAGGUGGCAUAGGCGCCUCUACUCCAGGAGGAAAAUCCACAUUAUCAAAAUGGGAUUGCAAUUGGGCAUACUCGUCAACAUCAAUUACCUCAUCCAAGUAAAGAUCACCAUAGGCAACCUUAUGUGAUGCUGAGGAAGAACUCUUACCAGAACUAACAAAAUUAUUGGCCACAGCUCCCUGAAGAGGGCUGGCAUUAGUAAAUAUAUGCUAAAGAUCUUCACAGCAACAUUGAAUACUUAACGAAAACAUAAAGAUAAUAUUCUACAACGAAAGUAUGAAGUUAAUCAUAAACCUUAGCUUGAUGAUCAAGGUAAUCAUUGGAAGAGUAUUUUAUGGCCUUCUUUUCAUAACUUCUGCGAAAUCUCUUCUUAUUCAUAAACAUUGCAGUGUCAGAAUCUUCAUCAUCGUCAAUUUCGAUCACAUCAUGCACAACAGCCUAAUAAAUUCAUAAACAACAAAUAUAGACAUAGCAUAAACAAAAAAAAUAAGACAUAGGUAUAGGAGGAGACUAACACGUGCAUCAGAAAUUCUUUGAAAAUACUAGAUAAAUUACCAAAAGAGCAGCCAAACUUUAUACUUACUGAUACUGACACUUCCGUAACCAAAUCAUGCACUCUAUUACAGACAUGGUUAGUCUUGCAUGCUGAAGUAUCAAGUCAAUUAUUUUUGAUCAGUACAAUUUGAGAGAACUCAUUAUGUUUUGGUGGAACUGGUUAGUUCCAAAGUACUUUGAAUAAGAAAAUAGAGCAAAGAUUAAAUUGAUAAGGACAAGUUGUAAUAAACAUUGAAGCAUUGAAUGAAAACCUCCUAUAUGUGUAUAACCUAAAAGUUUUGAACGAAGGGUUCACCGAGCCUAAGCUUGUUCGUUAUGAUGACUUUCUUAGAAUUCGGGUCUUGAAUUCCAAGUAGAACAAGCGCAAAACAACACAAAAGGGGAUUCUUGACAGAAGACAGAGUACAAGAACUCCUAGGGUUUGUGCAACUCGCUCCUAGGGUUUGGGCAUCCUAAAAGCAUUAUCGAAAUUAACCUAAGCUGUAUAGAAGCCCAAACAAUCGCUAGUCACCGAAAACCUAUACAAAAAUUGCUGCAAUCCCCAAUCGAAUUUGAUCAAAACAGUAACAUGACAUGAGCUAAAACUGAUUUCGUUACAAGUAAUAUGAUCGGAAUUCAACAACUAAAGAAAACUGAUGAUAUCGAGUUCGUGAUCGAGUUAAGAUAAUAGUUAUAGCAAGUGUAUGAACGAGCGCACCUCUUUGCCUUUGCGCGGUUUCCGAGUCAGACUAACCGGAGGGUCGAUCACGACGACGUCGUCCUCGUCCAUGCUCCUAGAACUGCUCACAGUCUCCGAAAACAUUCGCUUCCUGAAAGUGAUAGAAGGAAGACAGAGUCUUGUUAUUAACAGAAGUAAAGAAUGAGAGAGAGAGAGAGAGAGACGUGGGAUUCUGAGGUGACCGCAGCGACUCCAUUAGACCGGCUUUUCGUACUUUCGCGGAAGAGAGGACGAAAAGGGUCAGUAGCCGAAACGCUCGAUCAGAAAGCUAUUAGACCGGCUUUUCGUACUUUCGCGGAAGAGAGGACGAAAAGGGUCAGUAGCCGAAACGCUCGAUCAGAAAGCUAAAGCUUAUAGAGGAAGAAACAAGAGCCCAUUUUCAAAGGAAAAAAGAAGAAGCAAAGAGCCCUAGAGUAGUAGAAGUACGGUCACUUGAGGACUGUGACGUUUUUUUUUAUUUAUUUGUUUUUUUUUUUUAUACGGAGGACUGUGACGUUGAUCGACGAGUUUCUUCUCAGCCAGAAACAAAGAUGCACCCAUCCGGGUGUCCAAAUGAAGGGACAAGCAUUUUAGGCUUCUGUUUCCACCCUGAGCCUGGCCUGGUGCCUAUGGUUUUGGAACUGGGCUCUUUGGACCAAACUGAUGGGCUCUGGCUCUGACUCUGUAGGGUUUCGGUUUUCGGAUCCUUGAGGAUCGACGUAGCAAAUCACUUUUAAGUCAUUUAUCUUUAUCGUGAGUCUCUGUAUUACGUUUACUUUUGAUUUUUUCAUAGUUGAAUAGGCUUUCGGUUUUUGGAUCCUUGAGGAUCGACGUAGCAAAUUAUUUUUAAGUCAUUUAUCUUUUUCGUGAGUCUAUAUACAUAUUAUGUUUACUUUUCAUGGUUCAAUUAAUAGGUUUGCUAAAAAAAAUGGGUGUCGGCAUUGAAAAUGCCUAGUAUCACUAUGGUACCAUCACAACUUAACUAUUUUUUUUAUCAGGGGAUUAUACAACUCAGAUAUUACAACUUUGUGAGUCAAACUCACAAUUUUUCACCUAUUAAGAAAAGAUUAUGCCGCUAGACCAAAUAGUACUGGGAGUAUGAAUGAAUGACUAUUUUGGCUUCAGGCAUGAUAAAAUCAUUGUGAUUUCAAUUUGAGGGGAAAACAAAAAAUCAAAAAUCAAAACUUGGCUUGCUAUUAAUGGAUUGAAGAUCGAUAUUAUUCAAAACCACAAGAUUAUUGUCGACAAUGUGUGUCAAUCUGCGAGAGACUUAAAGGAAAGGCUGGGUAAGGUUAUAGUCUGAAAGCUACAUACAUACAUCGCCUAUUGUAGGAUCUCGGAAGCAAGGACCCUCCAAAUUGAAAGGCUUCGAUCAUGUAGUGGUAAACUCAAGUCGGAAAGAUUCGUAAAAUCUCAUUUGUGGACAUUCUCUCAAAUAUUUAUAGGACUUUGACAGUUUAGAAUAAUGGAAAUGAAAGUGGAGAUCGAAGCAAUACUGAGGAAGACAGCUGCCGAUUAGAUUUCUCUAGCUUCCUAGCUAGUUGUGGAUAAAAAGAUCGAUAAGAAUGUAAGGCUAUGCUUCCUUUGGACAACGUUUCAAAGAAAAUUAAGACAAGCUAGCUAACUGGGGAAGGUAUUGCUUUGACAAUGACCAAGAAAGAUACUUCAAUUCUUUAUUUUUAACCCUAAACUCCUUACAACUUCAAGAAAUUUCCUUUAACUGUAGACUUUAGUGUUUAUAUUGUAAAAUGUGGUCGAUUCUUUUCAAUAAAUUAAAGUAGGUAAAGCAAUGGUGCAUGAGAAUGAGAACCUCUAGCACUGAUCAAUCGAUCAAGCACUUAUUGUACGUGACCCUUUAAAAAGUUCCUUAAUUAAUUAAUCAAAGUUGUAACUAAGAAAAUUAUACAGGUUGUUGUACGUAGAACUUUGGCCUAGAUAUAUAGCUCUGCAAGAUCAUGCCAUAUCAGUUCAACAAGAUGAAGAUUACUUGGUAACAUCCAUAUAGCUCAUAAUAUAUAAUUCAGUCCAGCUCUGAAACUUCAACGUACUCGAAAUAUUAGAUAUAACCAUUCUCUAAUCGAUCAAACUUGCUGCAUGCAUACCAACUUGAUGCUGUCGUCUUUACAAUACAGACCCAGAUUUAUGCAUUAACAAUUCCUUAGUUGUAAAUAUAUUAAUAUUAUAUGGAAAAUAAGCAUUUCGAUCUCAUUAAUUGGAAUACGUUCAUGUCGAAUGGUAAAUGCAGCAAAUUAAUGGGUAUUUUUAUCCGUCGGUUUUUCUUUCCGUCCAAUCAAUCAUUCGAGAUUUAAAGAUGUCAUAUACGUGGAAUCUGAAUAUGUGCUAGCUGCUGGUUUUCGAAAUUAACCAGAAAGAGAGAAAGGUAAAUGGCAAAACUGCAGAAGGAAAAAAGAUCGAGAAGUACGUAUAGGUAACAGGAAUAUUAUUAAGAAAAGUAAUCCAUGCUUUGUGACAGAAUAAUAUGUUCAUGGUUCUAUAUCAUGGCGCAGUUGUAGAGAUAUCAGAUCCACUUAUGGCGUUUGUUUUUUUUUUUUUUCUUUUUUUAUUAGAGAUCGAUCGUCCAUCGACUUAUGCUGUUGUCCAUAGCAUAAUGUUCAUGAUCUUUUCGUUUUAUCUAACUUGAAUUUCAUGCAUACAUAUAUAUCAGUAAUAUAACCACUUCGAGAAUCUAGUACUACGUUCUCGAAGUGGUUAUAUUAUAAAAAAUGACAUCUCACUAUCAUAAACAGUUGCAAAACACAGAAAACCCACCUUCUAAAGGAUUUAUACAAAGAAAGACGGAAGCCCAAACCCAAAACAAUACAACAUCAAACCUAAUCCAAAUUCUAAAUGCAUAAUGACCAUAAUACUCAGAAUUUUGUACAAAAUUACAGACCAUGCCCCACACUCUCUCUCUCUCUAACAUUCAAUUUCAUUUCUCUCUCUCUCUCUUUCUAACCCCAAAACGCAUCGUUUCGGUCUCUAAACCAUGGUGGUGGAGAAGCGUCCGCUGUAGAGCAGCAGCAACUCCAACACGGCAACGGCAAUAGACGGCAAGACGAUCGAGGAAAUGUACCAGAAAAAGAGCCAGCUGGAGCACAUCUUGCUCCGACCCGAUACCUACAUCGGAUCCAUCGAGAAGCACACUUUGGGUCUUCUACUUCACUUUCCCCAGGCAAUCUACAUACUUCUCUUCCUUUUCUCUAAAUUCGAAAUCCAAUUUUUGUUCAAGUUAUUGGAAUGAGCUAGAAUUUAAGCUAGUUUCUUCAUCUUUGUGCCUCAAUUGGUAUACGCAUGCGUUUCAAUUUUCGAUCUUGAUUGUAAAUUUGGAUCGAUUUCUUCAAUUUCUGCAUGUUUAGGGCUGUUUUUAACUAUCAGUGUAGAAUUGACUGCCUCCAUUUUCGGUUUCACUCGUCAUUGACUUGAUCAGCUUCUCAAUCUGCGUUUUUUUGUUUUCUGUUGUUUAUAUCAUGAUUCGGUUUAAGUUUCGAGCUUGCGAUUAUUGUUUAUGUAAAGGUGGAUGAAUUACGAUUUGCUUAGAAUCUCGAAUUUGUUUCGGCUGUGUUGUAGACUAGAUUUUAGGUCAUUCUUUGGUUAAAUUUUUGCAAUUGGAAUGAUUAAAUGGAAUUGAUUGUGCAGGGAUAGGAUCAAAAUCCGAGGAGCUGGUGGAAGAGAGUGGCCAUGGCUGCUUCAGAGGAGAAUAAUGCAUUAGUAUCCAUUACUAUUGUGUGUUGUUGUUGUUGUGUGCUGCUACUAUGCUACGUGUUAUUGAUUCAUGCUGCUACUGUGUACUGCUACUUUGUGUUGUUGUUGUGUGUUGCUACUUUGUGUUGUUGAUUCAUGUUGCUACUGUGUGCUGCUAUUACGUCUUGUUGUUGUGUGUUGUUACUGUGUUGUUGUUAUGUGUUGCUACUGCUUGUUGUUGUUAUGUGCUGUUAUUGCUUGUUCCUGCUAUGUGCUGCUAUUGUUGUUGUGUGCUGCUGCUGCUGCUACUACAUGUUGUUGAUUCAUGUUGCUACUGUUUGUUCCUGCUAUGUGCUGCUAAUGUGUGCUCUUCGUGUUGUUACUGUGUGUUGUUGUUGUGCGCUGCUACUACGUGUUGUUGAUUCAUGCUGUUGUUGUGUACAACGAAUUUGUGUUGUUGUUGUGUGUUGUUACUGCGUGUUGUUGAUUCAUGCUGCUACUACUUGUUGUUGUUGUUGUGUGGUUCGACUGUGUGUUGUUGUUAUGUGCUGCUACUGCUGCUGCUGCUGCUGCUGCUGCUACUACUACUUGUUGCUGCUACUGCGUGUUGUUGAUUCAUGUUGUUUUUAUGUGCUGCUACUGUGUGGUGUUGUUGUGUCGUGUUGUUGUUGUGUGCUACUACUACGUGUUAUUGAUUCAUGCUACUAUUGUGUACAACUACUUUGUGUUGUUGUUGUUGUUGUUGUUGUGUGUUGCUACUGCGUGUUGUUGAUUCAUGUUGCUGCUAUGUGCUGCUGCUGCUGCUACUUGUUGUUGUUGUUGUGUGUUGCUACUGUGUUGUUGUUAUGUUAACCCCUGCUACUACUUCUACUGGAAUUUAUUGCUAUUACUAAUGGGAUGUUAACCUCUGCUACUACUUCUACUGGAAUUAACUGCUACUACUAUUUAGAUGUUAACCCCUGUUACUAUUUCUACUGGAAUGUUAACCUCUGCUGCUGCUACUACUUCUACUGAAAUUAACUGUUACUACACUAAAUUAUUGAAAAUCUGCUACUGUAUUCCAUUUACUGAAAAAUCUCAAAAUGAGAGACUUUUCUCUUCUAAAAGUAUAUUUAAUUAGUGUAAGGUUAAUUUGAUAAAUUAAAUCAUGACACAUGACAUGUAGAGAAAAAAUUGUCCUUAAUUGUUAAAAACUGUCUUUAUUUGUUUAAUAACAACACAAAUGGUUUGCUAUUAAAAUUAAUUAUUCCCGAUUGAGUGCCAUCUUCACUAAUUAGUUGCAUGACAACUAAAUUUAUGAGAACUUUUUACGACGCUAAUCUAGUCCAAUCCAAUUGAGAGAGUUUGAGAGCGAGAGGAGGGGAAAGAGAUAGAUAUGUCAAUUGUGAUAUAAUCGAUAUGGCGUGUGUUUGUAGGGAUCGAUUUGGUCGUCUUGUUCUUCCACAAAAGAGCAACGAAGUUGACAUGAGAGGAGGAAAUGAGUCCAACGGCCAGCCCCUCUCCUCACCUCCAUUAAUUAUUAAGAUUCCUUCGGACCUUUCCCCGGAGACGUGUGCUUAUCUCAUGCCUGCGCAGGCCCCAUAAUCCUCAACCUGCAUGAGAAGUCGAAAUUGCCCUCCUUCUCCUCCCCUCCAUGCAUCUAUAAAUUGAGGAGCCAUAGCAGGGCUUGAAGAUAUAGCAAGCAAAGCAUUUUUUUCAUUACUCAGAAACAAAAACCCAGUUUCAGUAAAUCAAUUCCGAUCAACACCAUGUCUGGAAAGUGCGACAGCUGUGACUGCUCUGACGUUUCCCAGUGCACGUAAGUAGCUUCUCCAUCUUCUUAAUACAUGCAUGUUAAUUUGUUAGCUAGCUAGUAAUUAAGUUCUUCAUUUAUCAGAUUAGGAUUUCUUUUCUUUUGCUGAUCUAAGAGCGAUUGCUAUGAGAGGGUUAGGGUUCAACUACUCUCGACCGUGUUUGUGCAUAUGUUUAUAUGUCAUAUAUACUCGACGACUAAAACAAAAUAGCUCGUAUGUUUUGCUCUUAAUAUAAAUUAAGCAAGAAAAGUACUACUUGUGUUUGGUCGGAUUGGCUCAUAGAUCACCUUGAGCAAGAUAUACUCAUGUACCUAAAAUUUAUAUAUGAUGUUCAUUUUCUUUCAACCGUAAUCGGAGAAAAAAGGAAAAGCUAGGUUAAUUUAUAUACACACAAAUAUGUACAUGUUUUUGUUUAAAGCCUACCCAUAAACAUCAUUUGAAGUGUUUGAUUCUAUUCUGGAUAUGUUCUUAAUUUAAGGGAUCACAAUAAACUUUGUUCUCUCUGAAACUGCAGGAAGAAGGGAAACAGCUUGGUCAUUGUUGAGACCGAGAAGAGGUAACCACUCAAUUAAUUCUCCAAAUUAUAUAUAAUGUAAACAAUCUAAGAAUUAUUAGAUGUUUCUUAUAUAUAUCUUUGUUUUCAUUCCUGUUGGAGGAGGAAGAGCAACUUAAAACAAAUCUGAUUCUUCUUGCAGCUACGACACUGUUGUCAUGGAUGCACCAACCGCCGAGAACGGCGGAAAGUGCAAAUGCGGCACCACCUGCUCUUGCAUCGACUGCAAGUGUGGACAUUAAGCUCCCCUAUUCGACAACCAAUGGCUGCCAUAUAAUUAUUACCUAGUGAGAAGGAAAAAAGAAAGGAGUCUCGUCAAUAAAGGAUUCGUGAGAAUCAAAUAACGUACUCUGUUUAUUUGUGAUAGUAGUUUGAUCGAGUCUGUGAGUAAGUGAUCGAGUGAGAGACGUACUCUACUCUGUGUGUGUCAAUCAUGUUCGUGUUCUUUGGUAGCCAUGUAAUGUUCAUCUGGUCAUUAUCUGUGGCCUUGUGAUCAUGUUUAAUCAAUGAAAUUACUAUUAGUAUAUACAUGCUCCAUCUUCACUACGUACUCUUAAUCAGCUAGCUUUCAUACUAGUUAUACCCACGCCUUGGCGAGGUGUAAUAUCCACAUUAUGCAUAUUCCACAUAUGUAUAAAAGCUAUCACAAAAACAAUCUUUAUAAAACAAAAUAUCUAGCUAGUCUUGUAUUCUAUCUAAAAUAUAAAUGUUCCAAUUGUUUUAAUUUGUACGUACGUGUAUACAAAGCAAAAGAGAAAAUGAUAGAAAUAGUUCUGUG
rnacentral:lncRNA from 1 species